UCCAGUUGGUGGCACCAGUAAUAUGCUUGAUCAAUGUUGCAGAACUUCUGAAGGGAGUUGCUUAGCAACCGUGGCUUUGGAGGUGAAUUUUUGCUUGACCUUUUCACUACCAUAGCUGAGUAAAUAAAUAGGUACUUCUAAAAUGGGCCCAAUGAAUAUCACGGGCACUUGGUUUUCAGCUUGUCUGUUGUGAAUUUUAAUAGAUUGGGUGGUGCGUUAGUGAUGUGGAAGUAAGAUAUGUGAGGAUUUGAGACUGACUUUGUUGCUUUACCUCUUGGAGAUCAUUCAAGUUGUGCAUUUUAAUUAAAUUUAUACAUGUAAAUAUACUUACUUUUUAAAUAAAAUAUUGGGACCUGAAAUAGCAUUUUCUCUUGGGAAAAAUAUCAGCUUGUAGAUCAUUGGCCGGUGUCAUUGGUGGUAGAGUUGUUUUAUUUCCCUGGAACUAUUGAGUUGUAGUCUUUCCUCCUAUAGACUUCAGUAGGAGCUUUAUUCUUUUGCAGUUGGAAUAACAAGUAUUGGUGAAAUGCUUGGGGAGUUAUUUUUACGUUGGUGAAAGUAUCACCCCUGAUUGUGUGCAUAUGAAUUUUGUACUGACUCUUCAGGAUGUUUUUUUUCCUUUCCCCCUUAAGUUAGUUUACUAUGCAGAAGGCAACAGAAUAAAAUUUGAUAUUUUCAGAUAAUAAGUAUUUUCCACACCGAGACAUGAUUUUUCUUUAAAAUGAAUUGCUUAGUAGUUCUGAAUGUACAAAUAUGCCAAGAGGUUUUUCAGAGUAAGUUACAUUUUUUUUUUUGCAGUGAAAAUAUUGAGAGUGCUUGAGAACUUUAUGGAUAAUCUUCCUUCUUAGCCAUAUAAAUAUUGUAUGCUGAAAAAAAAUAUGAAUAAGAAAAACAUGCACCAAAAGAUAAUUGUGAUUGUGUUAUAGACUCCCAAAUUUCUGGAAUGAAAAUUCUAGCCAAAUAAAUUGUAAAUUUUUCUUAAUAUUUAAAAAUCUUCUUUUAAAUGUAUGAAAUGAGUCUAAAAGGAAACUAUUUUCUUCUGUUAAUUGAAAAAAGUACUAGAAUGAUUUAGAAUGUCCCUAGAAGACAGAACAAUUUAAGUUUAAUGCUAAUUUUCUAUUGAAUUCUUUUAAAAGACUGGAAUUUCUUGGAAUAACAAACAUUUUAUUUUGUUGUAAGUUUGUGGUGGGCUUUUUCCUUUGGGAUUUUUUUUUUUAAAGCAAAAUGUCUGUAAACUCAGUUGUCAAAAGAAUAUGGUUUAAAUGCCAUCUCUUUCUAGGUGCCAGCCUUAAUUGACUUUGAGAAAAGAAAUAAAGGGACCUGGGAUGACAAUGUGAAUUUAGACAAACAGAUCUUAAUUCCUUGGACUAUGAAAAUGAGAGGUCAUAGAGAUGCACCACUUUUUUUUCUUUUUCUUUUGAGGCAGAGUCUCGCUCUGUAGCCCAGGCUAGAUUGCAGUGGCACGAUCUUGGCUCAGUAAAACCUCUGCCUCCCAAGUUCGAGUGAUUCUCAUGCCACAGCUGUCCAAGUAGCUGGGCCUACAGGCAGGCACUACCACACUGGGCUAAUUUUCAUAUAUUUAGUAGAGACAGGGUUUUGCCACGUUGGCCCCUUUUGAAGGUGGUUAAUAAUGGUAUGAACUUUGCUUUGUAAUUUUUUAACUCAUAUCUUGAGAGUAACUUGAUAUUUCAGACUUUUAACAGACUCAGAAAAUGUGAUGUAAAACCGGGGCAUAUAUAAGUUUGGACUCAAUAAUUAUGUGGAAAUAUCUGUGUCUAGGAAAAUAUCCGUAGUGAAUAGUGAGUAAGCAGUGAUUGACAACUCGUUUCUUUAUGGAUGUGGCACUGGUGUUGCCAUUUGGGAAAUGAACCCUGAUCAGUUACUAUAUAUCUAAGUAAAGACCAAGGGCUUGGAGAAUAUUUUAUUAAAAUUAACAAACUUCAGUUUGUUUGGAAGGUAGUAAGAAGGAUCCAACCCUUUCUGAUUACAAGAACAGUGAGAACUAGAACAUUUUAAAAAUCGGUAUAUUCUGUAAGGCUAAUUCACAUCUGCAGUGUUUAAAACAGUGUCUGGGCCAGUAGAUAAUGUAUUCUAUGUGAUGAUUUUGUAACUUUUUAUUUUACUUUACCUUUAUAAACUCUGCCAUGUUACAACUGGGAGAUGCAUCUUAAUGAGGUACUCAUUUGCUUGCAGAAACUAUAGUCUUUUGUCCUGAGAUUUGAGGAUAGAAGAUAUGGUUAGCUCUGCCCACUGACAUUUCCUAAACGGUGAGAUGUCUGGAGUGAGCUUUUGUUGUCCUCCAGUGUUCUAUCCUGCCUGCCCUAGUGUAGCCCUUAGGUGUGGUUCAUCUCUCCGCCUCUGGACUUUUCCAACCCAGCCUAUAACUCACUCUAAACCACAGCCCUGACCUCUCUUCCCUUGUUAAUAAACCAAUAAAGAAGAUCUAAUUUUCGAGGCUAAAAUCCAAACUCCUUAGAAUAGUUUUUAAGAAUCUUCAUUGUACUGGGUCAUUCUCCCCUCUUUCCAGCUAUUUCCUGAAUAUGUGUCAUACUAUUCCUUUACCAUACUUUAUAUCCUGCCUCUCACCUCAACUGGAGGUGCUCCCCAUCCUUUUCAUUUCAACUGAAGUUCUUUGAUAACUGUCCCACCCUCUUAGAGAAAACAACAACAACAGAAAAGAAAAUAUCUGUCCUCUUUGUUGGUGACACUCACUUCCUUAUUCAUCAACUUCCAUGUUGAUUCAUUCAGUACUUUAUUAUUGAGUUCAUACUCUGUUCCAGGUACCAUACAGCCCAGUCUGCCUCAUAUCCAAAGUAUGUGCAUCCCUGUUUCUCUAUGCACUGUCUUUCCUUCCUAUGGGCAGGACCUGCUCUUGCACAUCUCUAUUUUUCUUAGCACCCAAAUGUACUAUGUUGACUGAAUUUAAAGUGAAACUGGAAACAUCAGGAGCAUAUGCGUUUCUCCAGGUAACAAAAUGGGGAAGCAAGGGUGUGCUGAAAUCCCACCUCUUCCCUAUUUCUAUGCACAAAGCCAAGUCUCGUCACCACUUUUUUCCAGAUGUUUUAGUAUCAUGUCCAAGCUAUAUUUUCCCAGCUCUCCUUUGUCCGUUACAAUUCUGUUUACAAGUGCGUGAGUGUAGGGAGUUAAGUCUAAAAGCAGUGAAUGAGUUGAUGGCAGAUGGGAAAAGAUUCUUUGCCAUUUCUUAACAUGUUAAUUUGUGAAUGGACCAAUCUGUGUUUUAAGGGCAGUGUAUUGGCAUUUUCAUGUAAAAUGGAACAUUUUCUUUGUAUGUUUGAUGAAUUCUUCUUAAAAAUGGUAUUCAGGUGCCCUUUGGGGUGUGUGCCAUUCAUGAGAGGCUCGUAAAUGUCAUCUUUGAACUUGUGUCUCUUCUAACAUUUUGCUGCCCCCACCCCAACACUUAUUUCUUAUGGCUCUGCUCACUGACUUUUUCAUAGCUUUCAGAGGAAGAAAAAGAACUGUCAAAUCAGGGGCCAAAGAUACUCUUUUGAAGCAGGAUGAUUUGCUUCAUUCUCGAUAUAGCUACUUCAGUCUCUCCUUGUCCCCACCUGAAGCAAACACUUCUGGUCCGUGCCAACACUGUUUAAAUACUGUUGAAUAUGCUUUGACUUCUGUGGUGUAAUGCUUAGAAGAAUAUGUCAGAAUGUCUUUAAUCCAUUAAUUUCUUGUUACUGGAAACUGCUUUUCAGAAUUUCUUGGUGAUAGAAUCAUUUUGGAGAGUACGCAUUCAGAAUUCUGCGGCAAACAUAUUAUUGAUGUGUCUCAGUGCAGCCCAGCUAUUGUUCACGGCUUAAAUAAAUUUGAACCAUUACGGUUAAUACUUCUCCUUACCCCCUCCCUUUGCUUUGUUCUGUGUCUAUCUUCUUGAAUUGAGCAUGAAAACGAAUUUAAACAUUAGUGGUAUCCAUUUGAGGACUGGGGCUUUUAUUGUAAAUAAAAUUACUCAUUUGUUAUGUUCUGUUGUUUUCAGCAGAGAGUGUAUUGAUCUCUGCAUUGCUAUUCUGAAUGGCAUAAGGAGCUGCAACAUGAGGGAGACACAGCAACAUUUGUGGAUGGAUUGAACAGGGUGUGUAAUGACAGAAACCUUGCCCACUGGUCAUACUACAUUCUACAAAUCAUUCAUCAACAGUUUAUUGAAUCAGUUAUUAAAAAGAGCAGAUUUUUCCAAACAAGACCAUCACACACAGAAUGUUAUCACGCCCAAACAACAUUAGGAUGAUGCAUGGAGGGACAGCCUUACAAAGUGUAUUUGUCAGAGAAUUAGACUAGGUAACUUAAAGGACAUGUUCUGCUGACACAUUAGAAAUAAAAAGUUUGCUACAAUGCACACCGUGCUCUAAGAUCCAACUUUGAAAGGUAAAAAAGAAAACUCUGACAAAUGUAUUUUAAUACGGAAUAUUAACUUUCCAAAGAGCAAUGUUAAGUUUCCCCAGUUUUCAGACAGUUACCAUAUUGAUCGCUCCUGAAAUAAGUAGACAAAUAAUAAAAAUAGCUUCAUUACUUAACAGUGAUUCUUACAGAAUAAAUGCUAUAGAUAAAAGCGCCCUUUUAGUCCUCCCAUAAAAAUCAGAAAUAUUUGUCAUUUCCUCAGUAGGUUGUAAUCUUGUGAAUUCAUUUAAUUGUUCAGGAAACUGCAGUUAUUAGUGAUCUUUCAUUUCUCUGAAGAGUUUCUUUUUAAACCUUCCUGUAUGAGUAAAAUGAGCACAAGCACUAUUUUAAUAUCUUUAUUGCUAAAGAUAGGUUUUUGCUCUUAAAAUUGCCCUAAGCACAUGUCUUGUCUUUGCUCUGUGCGUGCUUGUUAUAUAUUAGCCAGCUUAGAAGCUUUUGGAGAAAUAUUCAAAGAUAAUGUUGCUGUCAGUUGUAAUGGGGCAAGUUGGUUUUCUUGUGGUCACGUGCUUUUUUUUUGUUUUUGUUUUUUUGAGACGGAGUUUCGCUCUUGUUACCCAGGCAGGAGUGCAAUGGCGCGAUCUCGGCUCACCGCAACCUCUGCCUCCUGGGUUCAGGCAAUUCUCCUGCCUCAGCCUCCUGAGUAGCUGGGAUUACAGGCAUGUGCCACCAUGCCCAGCUAAUUUUUUUGUAUUUUUAGUAGAGAUGGGGUUUCACUAUGUUGACCAGGAUGGUCUCGAUCUGUUGACCUCGGGAUCCACCCACCUCGGCCUCCCAAAGUGCUGGGAUUACAGGCUUGAGCCACCGCGCCUGGCCCUUUUUUUCUUGACUUCAUUUGGCAGAUUAUUGUGUUCAAAGACAUUGUUCAGUUGGAGCUUUCUUUUUUCUACUUCUAUGGAAAAACUUUCCAUAUGAAUGUAUGUCUACCCUUGUGUUAUAAAAGUACAUGGCCAUCAACGUGAAGCGGCUUCUGAUGGCAUUGGACAAUGGGAACAAAGGAAAUUAUUGGAUGCUUUCAUCAUUCUAAGUUGACCAACACCUUUUUUCAGUGUCUAAAAUCUGCCACAGAGAAUCUUGCCGACUCCCAUUGUAAGACAAACUUGGUAUUACAUUAUGUGACCAUCAUCCAUCUUGACUCGCCAUUUAAAGAAUUGCAAUGUAGAAACAAAUACAUUUUGUCUCAUAUUCCAGCCGAUCCAUUGGUGGUGAGCUGCCAAGGUUGAGAAGGACUCAAGCUGCACAAAGGGUCAGCAGGCAGUAACUGUCAUGGGCACCAGAGGGGAAGGGGAAGCCCUCCUUACUAGUUACCUCCUCUCCCAAGUUUAUUUUUUGUUCCUGACUGACAUCUUUAUUUUUUAUCAUAGACAGAAUGAUGGAUUGUUGGUACCCAACACUGAAGGAAUUAAGCAGGUACUUUGUAUGUGUGCAAGGAAGGUUUGAAAUUGGAUGGAGAAAAAUGUGUGGACUUUGUGCACUUUGCCCUGGCACCUUCAAAAUGAAGGUGACAUACCCAUGAAACAUUGUGCCUGAGGCAUGUAUAUGUUGGUCUCUAGACCUCAUAUAGGCUACUUCCUUCUAUUUGCCUUCUCUUCCUCUCGACUGUCCUGGCUCCUUGCUGCCUGCUCUCUGGUGAGGAUAUGCACAUAUGGAGUAGCCUGUGGUCCACCAGGUCCCUGUUGCUUAAAUACGUGGUUUUAACUGUCUUUCCUUGAUCUUGGCCUGUCUUCCAUACUAGAGUUUAUCUUUUAGCCCCAGACCCUGCUGUGAAUGGGAUGGGAUGGGCUGGCCUAACCUGAUUAUGCACAUUCAAGGAGAAAAAUUCAACCAGCAUUUCGAUCAGGACCUUUAGCAAUUUCUCAGAAUUGCACAAAGGCUAUAGAAUCACUUCUACACUAGAAAAAUAUAUCUUUACAGUCUGCCGAUAUAUACAGAAUAUAAUUCUGUUAAUGUGUGUUUACAUCCAGGGAGAGGGAUAUUAGGGAUGUACUUUCUCCAAUUCUAGCAAAUUGUAGAAUUAGAAUUAUAUGUAUCAAGAUAACACUUUGAAUAUUUCUCAUAUUAAUUGCUGUCAUAGAUAUCCUGUAAUGUGGAAAGCUGUUCACCAUUUCUGUUUAUUUUUACAGUAACUUUUUCAGGUAGUUUUUAACUGCCAUGGUUAACAAUUACUGAACUCUGUUCAUUAUAUUCUGGGCAUAUUUUUGACCUGCUUUCCAUGCAAGUCAUCAGAUUUUAAGCAACAGGAAAAGACUGGUCAUGGUGUUGCUGGCUUUGCACUUGUUAAGGAAUAUAAUUAGAAGUAAUGAACAGAAUAAUAAUACAUCAUUAUUUAGAAGAAGUGUCAUGUAAUUAACUCAAAUAGUGCAAAAUAUAUCCUAAUUUCCAUUUGGAAUGAAAAUAGAUUUGUUUGAACAUCAGUAGUUACUGAUUCUUCUAUAUUUUCAUGCACAUAUCCAAAUUGUUAACAUCUACUGAGUACAUAUACAUGGAUUUUUUUAUAACACAGUGAGUCGAGAUAGCUUUCUUCUCCUAAUAGUCUUAUGUAUAUUCCUUAUUUUUAUUAUAGAUAUAUAAUUUGUAUAUGUGUUCAUCAACUCUUAGAAUUAGCAGAAUUAAUUUAUAUUUAUUGCAAAUUAAUGAUCUAAUUUAUUUACUUAGCUGCCAUUUCCUUUCUCAAACUAAUUAACUGAAAAAAUAACCAUAAAUUUGCAAACAGCUUCUGGGCACAAAUCCUAAAUUGGACUUAUCCUUAAAAACCUCUACAGUACUAGUUUGCAAUCUAAACUAUCUGUGAGAUUUCUACUCACAGGAUUUAAAUAUAUUUCAGGAGCCUUGGUUUAGCAUCUAUCUAUCCACAGUUGGGGUCAGGAUAUGGGUGGAUACGUCUUAGACAGUGGAGUUAUGUUUAUGUGUAACAAUUAGCAUGACACAUGGUACCGACCAAUGUCAAAGGUGGCCUCUGAAAGCUCUCUGCUGUGCCAGACAUCAGCCUAUUAAUUUCUGCAUUGUGGGGAGGUCUGGAGAGUCCCAGGGGAGGAAGCAAAGAGGUGGUGAGCAGCAUGCAAGGGUAAUAAGUAAUACUUCCAUAUUUCAGUAUGUUAAUAACAGGAAUGGACAUGCCAGUGCACAUAGUCUCAGUAACAGCCCAGAUUUUAAAGAGAGAAAAACAGGUGGAAUAAGCAACCUUAUAUCCUUAAGAUUAAGCAUGUUCUUUGUUCUUCAAGGCCAUUAAGUCAAGCAUAGUUGUAGAUUUGCUGAUGAUUUAAAACCAGCAGAAGUCUUUCUUGAUAUCGGAUGGUCAUCUUUCUCACACUGAAUUUAGAACCUCCUAACACUGAUUGAGGGGAAAGCUCAGCUGUAGCAUGGAGGAUACUGAGGCAAUGUUCUUCCUUUCUUUCCCUUUUGUAUUGUAUGUUGGGGUAGCUAUGGCAGUGGAGAGUAUAUUUUUACAAAUAUAACUGACAUCUUACAUUAAAACAAUAUUUUAACUUAACUUAAAUAAUAUUUUAUGACUAGCAAUGCGUUGUUGGGAUCAAUACAUUGUUUUAGCCAGGCACAGUGGUGUGUCCCUAUAAUCCCAGAGUUUUGGGAGGCUGAGGUGGGAGGAUCACUUGAGGUCAGGAGUCUGAGACCAGCCUGAGCAGCACAGCUAGACCCUUUUCUACAAGAAGAAAAAUGUAUUUGCUAGGUGUGAUAGCAUGCAUCUGUAGUCCUAAUUAUUUGGGAAUCUGAGAUAGAAGGAUUGCUUUAGCCCAGGAGUUCAAGGUUAUUUUAAGCUGUGGUUGUACUAGCCUGGGCAACAGAGCAAGAAACUUUCGGAAACAACAAUUAUUUUAUCCUCAUUGGCCUAUGAGCAGUUUGGAUGGGAAAGCUGAGGCACAGACCAGUAGUGGCUCUAGUUCAUGGGAGUCUGGACUUUACCCAGGACUCUUGAUUCACGUUCCAUUGUUCAUUUUACCCUCACCAGUUGCCUUCACAUGUGCUACACAUAUCUACGUAGUGUAGGGUGGGCAUCCUCAGAAGUUACUCUUCCUUGAACUGAAACCUUUCCCAUUAGCCCCACUUUCUAGUGGUAUAUCUUCCUAAAUAUUCACUCUGCCUUUUAUAUUUUAUGGGCAUUUUGCUGCUUGUAGCUUUAUUAUUUUACGGUAAGCUUCAUUAUCAUUUAAGAAUAUGACCAACUUAAGUGACUUCUGAAAAUCUAGAAGGUUUAAGCUUUGCUCUCCAGUGCCGUCUACAUGGGGCCAGGCAGUUUAGCUUGGCUAGCAGCAUAAUUUGCUCUGAGAUAAAAUGAGUCCAGGAGGAGCUACAUUUAUGUGGCUCUCCAAUUUUUCUCUUUUCUGAUAGGUUUCAAAAUGCCUAACGUUAUCAAGAGUUCUUUUUAUCUUUAAGAUCAAUUUCCAGUUCAAGAGAUUUGUGUGCUAACAUUUUUAAAGUAAGCCAUGAUACCCUUCCAUUCACCAAAGAUGAUUGCUUUAGUAGUUGCUCAAUAAGAUGUGUCAGGAUAAAAAUAAUUCCACAGGAAUUACAUUACAAUCUAGUGUUUCACGUGCAGAAGCCCAGAAUACUACUUAGUAUUUUCUAUUCUGUUUAGGGACCAAAUAAUCCUAGAAGCCAUCUCUCAUGGAGCCAUAUCUGCAGUAAUGUAAUUGAAGUUCAGGAGUGCAGCAGAUGUUGAAAGAAACUUUCCUUAUUGCCCUGGAAUAAACAGUGAAAGCCUAAACAGGAAGGCUGACAUUUGGGGACAGACAUUCCCCACAUCCACAUUACUGAGAGGCAGCAGCAGAACCAUUUCUACCUCACUGAACUGUACCUCCACACCCCCAAACUGCAAAGGGAGAGGAUUCGUGAGGGCCAAGAUCGACAGUUGAAAUGAGGAGUGCUGAGAUGCUUGCUUCUUCUUCUCUCUUCUGGAGUAAUUACUCCUACUGCCUUGAAAGUCAUGCCCCUCAGAGGGGUGUUUUCCACAAAAUGUCACUGGCAUCUUGUUCCCCGUCUUGUUGCUACAAAGCUGUAGAAUAGCAGGCUGACACAGGCACUGUCGUGAGAUGGGAGUGCAGGGAGGUACAAUUGCUUUUGGAGUGCUUCCCAUGUGCUCCGUGGAGUUUGGGAUUGCACAUGAGUGUACAAGUGUGCUUGCUUCUUGUUUGCAUAUUUCUGAAUGUAGGGUGGAGCAGGGAGGCUUGUUGGAGAGGCCUGUAGUAGCAGAGCAAGAAGUCACUGAAGAGGAGUAGUGUUCCUGGGAAAAAGAUGAAAACAACUUUUCUCCACUAUCCCACCUUUUGGGUAGCCCUUUGAAGAAGCACAGAUGUACUGACCUCAGCAGGUCCCCUGGUUCCUGCAUAUGACUGUGAAUAUCAGAGUAGCUGGCAGGUACCACUAAGUUGCUCAGGUAGGUGCUGGGCCAACUGAGGUCCUGGCCUACCAAGAGAGGGGAUUGGGUCAUGGAACACCAGGAGACCUAAAAAGGAGACAUGACUGUCCUUUUGUAAACGGAUUCACAGAAACAAAUGGGGAUAAAACUUUACUACCUUGCUGGAGAAAGCAUGUCUCUUAAUUCAACAAUGCAGAGAUUACCGUAUUUGCAGAGGCUCCCAGCAGAUGGAACUUGGAACUAGACCAGGGACACUUACCUGUCACUUUUUUUUUUUUUUUUGUCUUUGUGUGUAUGUUUUGUGUUUGUGUUUUUGAGACAGGGUCUCACUCUGUCACCCAGGCUGUUAUAAAGUGGCACAACCUUAGCUCACCGCAGCCUUGAGCUCCAGAACUCAAGUGAUCUUCUCACCUCAGCCUCCUGAGCAGCUGGGGCUACAGGUUUGGGCCACCACAUCCAGCCAAUUUUUGUAUUUUUUGUAGAGAUGAGGUUUUGCCAUGUUGCCCAGGCUAAUCUCACACUCUUGAGCUCAAACAAUCAACCUCGGCCUUCCCAAGUGCUGGAAUUACAGGCAUGCGCCACAGCACUAGUCACCUGUCACCUGUCACCUGUUGACAGGCAACUUGUUACCUAAGACCACUAGUCUUAGGUAACAUUAAUGCUAGCAUAGCUUACCCUCACUAUGGCGGGAACAUUUGUAGAGAGCUGUAAGUAAUAAAAGUUGCAUCUCAAGUCUAUGCUUGGUAGGAUAUAAAAUUUUAAUAGAACCAAGACUAGAGUUUUAAAAUGGAGAGAUUUAUAAUUAUGGAAAGUGACUACAAAGUUAUACAUUCUGCCCAAGAUACUGUUAAAGGGCCAGAAGGGGAUUCAACAUGGGGUGGCUGGAAAAGUGAUGGCAAAGAAUAUAAUGGUAAUAUAUCUUUGUCCCACUAAGUUGGGAUUCUUCAAUUAUUGUUUACAGAAAGCGAUGAUAUAAAUCUUAAAUUUAAAAAAGGGUUGUCAGUCAACAUCACAUUAGGUAAAUUGUGAUUGCUUUAAUUCUUAGAGUCAGAAUCUUGCAUAUAUUAGAUGGUUGAUAAAUAUUUAUAAGAAAUUUAAUUUUGGUUCAAAACAGGAUAGUUAGGUAAAGGAAUAUUCAUUUAAUUAGUAAACAAAUAUUUUCGGAAGGUCUGUAUGACAGGUUCUUCUCAUGUUGUUUUUCAUUUCUGAUCUAAAUUUGGCAUGCUCUUAAGCUGACAAGGUAUCACUGUAAGGAUUUAAUGCUAUUGGAAGUUUUCUGCGCAGCAGCAGCCAGAAUGACAUGUUGAAUGUUUUUUUGCAUGGUUUCAAUGCUGAAGUUUUUUGCAUGGCUGCAGCCUGUUAAACAUGUUGAAUCUAUGUCACUUCUCCGAUCAUCCCCACAAUGGCUUCCUACCUCGCUCUAACUAAAGCCGAAGUUAUCACAGUGAUUUACAAGGUUCCUGCUCGCACUCCUCCAUCCACCCCCUGCCAUCAACGAUGGCCUUUUUGAUUUCAUCUCUUACUAUGUUUCCUGUAGUGGCUUGAAUGGGCAUCUCUCAAAAGAAAUGUCCAUAUCUCAAGUUUUGGAACUUGUGAAUGCUACCUUAUUGGGAAAGGGGUCUUUGUGGAUGUGUGAGUUAAGUAUCUCACCUGAGGUGGGGAGAUCAUCCUGGAUUAGACAGGCAAAUCCUAUAUCCAAUGGCAGUUUCUGUGAAAGAGUGAGACAGGGAGCUUACAUGGAGAAAAGGAGGACGCAACAUGAUCAUGAAGGCAGACAUCAGAGUGUUGUGGUCACAAGUCACAAGUCAAGGAAUGCUGACAGCCAUCAGAAGCUUGAGCAGCAGAGAGGGAGUGUGGCCCUGCUGACACCUGAAUGUCACGCCGCUGGCCUCCAAAACCAUGAGAGCAUCAGUUGCUGUUGUUUUAAGCCAUCAAUUUAUGGCAAUUUUGUUACAGCAGCUACAUGGAACUCCAAAACUCCCCACAUUUACUCUGCUCCAACCACACUAGUCCUUGUUGUUCAUUGAGCAUUCUAAGCACACUGCUGCCUCCAUAGCCCUUGAACCAGCAGCCGUUCGUUCUUUGUGGAAUGCUACGUAUGCCCUGUUCACUCAGCUCCUUCAGACCUCUAUUCAAUUUGUGCUGAAACGUCAGAGAAUAGGCUUUCCCAUUAUCUUACUGCAAACUUCACCCCUCACCAAUUGACAUUGUUGCAUUUAUACACUAAAUUACUGUACAAUUUAUUUGUGUGUGCGUGUCUCAGGCUGACUAGAAUGUGAGCUCUGUGAGGGCAGGGAUUAUUCUCUGGUUUAUUCAUGAAUGCAUCCCCUCUGCCUGGACAAUGCCAGGCUCACAGGAGGUGGUCAGUAAAUAUUUGUUAAAUGAAUAUUUGCUCAAUGAGUGACCCUGGUUGACCAUGUUGGUUUUUUAGUUGUAAAGUAAAAUAAUGUGGUAAGUUCUCACACCAUGCAGUACACUGCAGUGGUUAAGACAGUGUCAACCUGGAUUUCUAUGUACCUAACACACAUGCACACAUGCACACAUGCUUGGCGACAUAACUAAUAUUCCUCAUUCCAAAGUGGCCUACUCUGAAAGAGAGAAGUAACAGGUAGUUUGAGCAUGAAAAAUACUCAACCCCUCCCAUCCCCAGCACAGUUUUCAUAGAUUUCCGUGUGGAUUCCAGCCAGGCUGAUGAAAUCGGCUCUUUCCUUGGCUGAGAGAAAUUAACAGAAGGGUUUGAUACCUCAUCAGCUGGUGAGCUUUGAUUUCCCAGGAUUGUAUUUGCCACUGUCUUGCCUUCCUCAGGAAGUCUAGAGCAGCUCUGUAAGAAAUUUCUUUAGUGUAGUCACGUUUUUACAGGCUUAUCAUCUUGGCUUCUCAUGCAUACCGGUUGCCUUACAUAACGUGCCCUUUUGUAGGUCUCUGUUUCUUUUCAGUGAUCCCUUUGAUUAAACCUUCUCCCAAUGUAUGAUUUCUACAAUAAUCAAGGCCAUUGCCAUUAGACAUUUUUAAUUUGUUUCUUCAUUUAUUUCCUAGAAUGUUUAAAAAAUGAUUCAAGGUGACUAUGAUAUAGUAAGAUUAAGUGAUUUUUUUUCUAAAAAAGCAAACAACAAAAUUCAAGAAGUAGUAAAAGAAAAGUAAGGUGGACCAAAAGUGAGGUUAGGACAUCAAAUAAAUACAUAAUGUUUAUAUACCUGCUAGAGAUAGUGUAUGGUUUGGCUGUGUCUCCACCCAAAUCUCAUCUUGAAUUGUAGCUCCCAUAAUUCCCAUGUGUUAUGUGAGGGACCCUGUGGGAGAUAAUUGAAUGAUGAAGGUGGUUUCCCCCAUAGUGUUCUUGUUUUAAUAAUAAGUCUCACAAGAUUGGCUCUUUUUAUAAGGGCUUUCCCCUUUCACUUGGCUCUCAUUUUUCCUUUUGCCUUCUGCCAUGUAAGAUGUGUCUUUUGCCUUCUGCCAUGACUCUGAGGCCUCCCCAGCCAUGCGUGAGUCCAUUAAAACUCUUUUUCUUUAUAAAUUACCCAGUCUUGUGUAUGUCUUUAUCUAGCAGCAUGAAAACAAACUAAAAUAGAUGGGUCACAAAUUUGGCCCUGAACUUUCUAGCACCAAUCUAAAUAAGGAAAGAGUAUCCAUUCUCAAGGUAAAAAUAGGCUGAUUGUUCAGAAAAAUGCAGAAAUCUGCACAACACCAGAGAUGAGUUACAUUUUUUUGUGAAUUCUUCCUCAUGGAGAUGAUGCCAGACUGUGUAAUUGACAGCCUCAAAACAUCCUUCCAAUGCACAUGGAGGCUGUUUCUCAAAAAUAUGUUGUGCGUCUGGUAUUUAACAUCUCUACUACUCCUGCCAAAUCUUGUCUGAACUGGGUGCAGUGAGCUCUCAGGUUUCCUUGUUUAUCACUCCCCCAACUCCUCCAUCCUCCAGUCUACCACUAUGCGGCUGACAUAGAUUUUUAAAAAUACAGAAACAAGGACAGGUUAUUCCUUUGCAUUAAGAAUUUACAGUUAUUUUUGGCUUGGUGUGGUGGCUCACACCUGUAAUCCCAACACUUCGGAAGGUAAGGCAGGUGAUCACUUGAGGUCAGAAGUUCGAAACCAGCCUGGCCAAAAUGGUAAAAUCUCAUAUCUAUGAAAAAUGCAAAAAUUACCCAGGUGUCGUGGUGGGUACUUGUAAUCCCAGCUUUUCAGGAGGCUGAGACACAAGAACUGCUUGAACCCAGCAGGGUGAAGGUUGCAGUGAGCUCAGAUUGCUCCAUUGCAUUCCAGCCUGGGCAACAGAGUGAGGCUCUAUUAAAAAAAAACAAACAAACAAACUUAUGGUUGCUAUUUCUUUCACUUAAAAUAAAAUCUCACAUACUUCCCUCUGACCCUCACCUGCUACCCUCUGACCUACAUAGGGUCCCUGGUUUUCCUGCUUUCAAUUCCUAUUCCCUUGUCAUCACUUACACAGAGGCCUUCCCUGACCCUACCGUAGAACUCAAGCCAUGGAAACAAUGGUUAUAAGGCUCUUCCAGUCCUGUUUCUGGCAUUAUUGAAUGUACAUGGGAGAAGAAAGAGCUCUGCCUGCCAAUGGCUCUACGUCAUUUACUCUCUAUGAGUAAAAAACAUUUGUACUUGUCAAAACUACAAAUGAGCUUUGGACAAGGAAUUGGAGAACUGUAUUUUAGUCCCAUGUGGAGAAACUUGAGUCAUUUAUUCUUUUUUGUUUCAUUUCCUCAUGUGAAAAUAAAGGUAUUUUCUGCUAUAAGGACACAGGUAUUUGCCUGCCUCCUGGACUCUUGUGAGAGUAUUAAAACACAAUGAUAUGGAAGUCAGAAGAACGAAUACAGUUGGCAUAUUGGAAGCAUGGUAUAAUAAUCAUAAUUUUUUCAUUGUCCAGUAUCCUCAUAACUUAGGCUUGAUCAAAGGCUUGGGUAUGGGAAGGAUCAUUGUAUAAUGGUAGCCCUAAAUUUAUAAAACUGUAGCUUAAAUGAAAUUUUAAAAACUUCCUGCAUUUCCACGUAUCACAUAGCAACUGGAAAAACCCAGACCCAAUUUUAAACUACUCAUUUAAAAAUGGCAUUAAAAUAACACCCUGGAUUUAAAAUAAACCAAAAAAUGUACAGGCAUUUGAUAUGAGCCUUUUUCCUUUUUUUUCUCUCUUCUAUGAGGCAUGGUAUUAAAAAUCAAACCCAACCAAACAAACCCUUAUUAUUUCUACUGUUUUUGGAACCUGGGAAGAGGUAGGUAUGUGAAAAAGUCUGGUGUUCAUUCAUGGCUUAGAGUUGCUUUGCCAUAAUGGUUUUAAAUUAAACCCUCAGGGGGUUUAGAUGAGUCUAGAUGCUCAACUCUCAUUAACCAUAAUGGGAGUUACUGUACAUGUCUCUCUACUCCACAUACAACAUUGAAAAAUGACCCUCUAACACUAUAUUACUGUCCUUCUCUUUGAACUAAUUUUAAUGGAUUUUUUUAAAGUGAAGUCAUCGCUGCAAUCCUCAGGGCAAUGAGACUACCAACAAUUCAGCAAUAAGUAGUAGACCUUCAUUUUGGAGUGCUCAGCCUGUACAUGCUGGAAAGGUUUGGGCCAGGACUGACUCCGUCUCUGGACUAUAUGCUUCUCUUUUAUUUAGUUUCAAAUCACACUACUCUUUCUCUUUUUAAUCUCUUUCAUCCACAGCUUAGCCUCCUGGUAUAAUCAGUACACAGUAGGUAUUCAGCAUUAACCCAGUUCUGAUACUACUGAAAUGUUAUGGAGGAAAGGAAUGACAGUUGAUCGUGGAGAGCACAGGUUUGAAAUGCGUGGGUCCACUUACGUGGAUUUUUUUCAACAAAAAUAUUAGAAAAAGUUUUUGGACGUUUGUGACAAUUUGAAAAACUCAAACUACAUAGCUAGAAAUAUCAAAAACAUUAAUAAAGAUAUGUUAUGAAUGCUUAAAAUAUAGGUAGAUACUAGUCUGUUCUAUUAUUGAGUACCAUAAAAUAAACACAAAUAAACAAGGUUUUAUCAAGACUUAGGCACACAAACACAGUCUGGACAUGGUACCACCUGCAGUUGAGAGGAAUAUAAACAAAGAUGCAGUAUUAAAUCAUAAGUGCAUAAAAUUAACCAUAGUACAUACUAUACCACAGGAACUUGGUAGCCACCUUGUAUUGAUAUUGUGGUGAGCUCAAGUGUUGGGAGUAUCUGCUUAAAAUUCCUCGUGACACUGAUCAUCUCUGAAUGAGCUGAUGAUCACUCCAGUAAAUUGUGUUUCACAGUAAAAAGUGAUCUUUCAUGGUUCUCAUUUAUUUUUCUUUGUGUUUAAUGCAAAGACCAUAAACCUGGAAUAAUACCACAGGACUAAUACAAAGGGCCACCAGACCAGUCAUGCUGGACGUGCUCCCAAGAAGCAGAAAAGUCAUGACAUUACAAGAAAAAGUUGAAUUGCUUGAUAUGUACCCACAAUUUUAGAUGAUUUAUCUUGUAGAAAGAUGAUGUAAAGUUAUGGUAUAAAUACAUAUAGUAUCAAUACAUAUACUAUAAUAUUUUCUCUUCCUUAAGACUUUCUUAAUAUUGUAUUUUCUCUAGUUUACUUUAAAAAUAUAAUAUAUAAUACAUAAAAUAUAUGUUAAUCAAGUGUUUAUUGGUAAGGCUUCCAGUCAACAGAAGUCUACUAGUAGUUAAGUUUUGGGGAAGUUAAGUUAUGUGAAUUUUCAACUAUGCAGAUGGGAAGUGGUGCAGAACCAUUUGCCCCUUAAUUGUUCAGGAGCCAACUGUAAAUAUAUUCAAACUGUUUGUUUGGUGUUUUUGUUUGUUUGUUUUCUUGAGACAAAGUCUUGCUCUGUCACCCAGGGUGGAGUGCAGUGGUGUGAUCUCAGCUCACUGCAACCUCCACUCCUGUGUUCAAGCGAUUCUCCUGCUUCAGCCUCCUGAGUAGCGGGGACUACAGGUGCACACCACCACACCCACCUAAUACUUACAUUUUUGGUAGAGACAGGGUUUCACCUUAUUGGUCAGGCUGGUUUUGAACUCCUGACCUUGUGAUCUGCCCACCUCAGCCUCCCAGAGUGCUGGGAUUACAGGUGUGAACCACCAUGGCUGGCUACUAUUUGGUAUUUUUAAUGCAAUCUACUAGUAACCUACUAGUAACCAGCUAGUAUAACUUUAAGACCUAUUUGUGAGUACCAAUAAUUCUAGAGUAACCAAAACAUAAAAGCCAGUCAAUUCUGCCAUAACUUACAGAUCUAAAAUAACAAAUAUUUAGACUAAAUAAAUGUUUUUGUUUAAAUUAUAUCUACGAAACAACAAUCUAGUUAAUAUCAAGUGUAACACAUCUGUAAACCUUUCAUUUACUUUUUCUAAUCAUAAGAAUAUCUGCACACUGUACAAAAUAAAAACCAUCUAUCAUCUUAUUAUCCAGAAGUAACCUCUGCCAAAACUGCAGUUCAUUUCUUUCCCCUUUUUUCUUUGUUCUUACAUGUUUCUCUAGAAAAGAAAAAGACUCUAUAAUAGGAUUUUAACCUACUUCAUUGUUGACCUUUUUCUUAAGUUUUAAUAUGUAUAUAAAAGAAUUUGUUUUUUUUAGACAGAGUCUCACUCUGUUGCCCAGGUUAGAGCACAGUGGCACCAUCUCAGCACUCACUGUAACCUCCACCUCCUUGGUUCAAGUGAUUCUCCUGCCUCAGCCUCCUGAGUAGCUGGGAUUACAGGCCACCAUGCCUGGCUAAUUUUUUUUUUUUUUUUUUUAAUAGACAUGAAGUUUCACCAUGUUGGCUAGGCGGGUCUCUAACUCCUGACCUCAAACCCCUGGCCUCAAGCUAUCUGCCUGCCUCUGCCUCCCAAAGUGCUGGGAUUACAGGCAUGCACCACUGACCCAGGCCUGUGUAUAAAUUAAAUUUUUAACGAUGGUAUAAUAUAGUGCCGCAUGGACUUACUAUAAUUUGUUAGUUACUACUGACUUUUUGACAUAUAUGUAACAUUUUGAUAUGGAUCUUUGGCCAUAUUUCUGCUAAUUUUCUUGAACUGAAAUCACUUACUUGCUAUAAUGUUAUGUGGUGUUUAUAUUGGUGAGUAUUCCCGAAGUUACUGUAUACUAGCAUUGUAUGAGGGUACACUUCUCAUAAACAACAAGAAUUAGGAUUUUUGUUUUGGCCUAACCUUUGCCAAGUUGAUAGGUUUUACGUAUCUCAUUGUUUACAUUUUAUUAUCUAAUUGCUAGUGGAGUCAAUCUUUAGACAUAUUUAUAUAUUUAUCAAUAAAUUUUCUGUUAAGGUGCUUUGCUGCUUUUUCUACUGGUAUAUUUUUAAAACCCAAUAUGUUAGAGAUCUUUUAGGAACUAACCCUCUACCUAUCAUAUUUGUUAUAGAUAUUGUUCCUGUUUUGGCCCCAGCCUCUUCAGUUUAAGAUGUUAUUAACAUGUAAAAUUUUCAUAGUUAUGUCAAUUUGGUCAUUUAUGAGUUUCCUGGUCUUUUAUGAGAAAUCAAUCCCGAGAUUAAAUAUUUAUACAUAUUUUCUUGUGUUUUUGAAUGAGUUUUUUUUUUUUUAAUUUUUCUUUUCCUAGUCUACUAUCACCAACAAGUUCGUGGAACUGCAUAGGCAGGCUUUAAAAAUUCACUGUAUCUUUCUGGCCACCCUUGAAGAAGGUACAGAAUGCUAUUCCCAAGUUUAUAAAUGAAGACAGCAGGAGUGUCAUGAUGAACCAAACAGUAAGGUUCUAGAAGCACAGUGGUGUUAUCACAUUCUGAUUAACUUGUUUACUGAACUUCUAAGUUGGUCUUUAUACUAUCGAUUGCUAAUUUUACAUGUUCCCAGAAUAGGGGUAAUAUUGAAAAGACAUCUCUUGGGGAUUGCGGCACAACUAUAACAUGUCUUCUGAGUCACAAAACAUACUAUAUACAAUAUGAUAUGGUGCAGUUUUACAUUCUAGAUUAUGUUUGGUAUAAUUCUUAUAUAAAAUGCUUUCUACAAUAUUGUAAUUCCUUGAAUAUGAUAAGCCAUAUAUGGCAAUUUCCAGGUAGCUGGGUCAUUACAUUGAACACCAUCUUUUGACCGUUGAUGAAGAUCAAAAAAGCCACAGUCAUAUCAGUGGUCACCUGCCUGUGGCUCUAGGAGGUGGGUGGAGAGAGACAGAGGAAGUAACUACUAGUAUCCUAUAAUUUUGAUGCUAUUUAGAAGACAACUGACAUUUGAUGGAGGGAAUAAAAUGUCUAAGAAUAAGUUUUAGGGAUGGGAUGGAAGAAUUAUACAUGCAUUGCAUCACAUAUAGAAAUAACAUAAAUAAGAUAUCUACAAGAAGUUCUGUGUUCAGUUCUCAAAUCACCUCCUGAAUGACCUUUAUCAAUUUUAAAAAAUGAAACAGAUAAAAAUUUGCAAAAGUAAAAAUAUAUUUAACUUAACCCUAAGAUAACAUUGACUCUUGAGCCUUUAUAACUAUUUACCCACCUUUUGUCAUUAAUAAAUACCUAUGAAUUUGUCAGCUUAAAAACUUCUUGACAUGUUUUUAUAGUGAAAACACAACAGAAAUUACAUUAAAGAAUUUCCCCUGUCUGACAUGACUUUGACCAUGAAAAGUUAGGAUGCUGCUAUCCGUCCUCAGAAGAGUAGAGAUUCCAGUGAUUACGUUUUCUUAACUCCGAGGAAGUGUGUAUCUCGAUUGAUUUCUCAGUUGACUGAGCCUGUUAUAACUAUCCCCAUUUUAACAUAGGUGUAAUUGAUCACUUUCAUUCAAGUGAUCGCUGUCAUUGUCUCAGCUGUGAGAACGUACAAUUCGGUAUAGCAAUGUUACACUAUGGCAGAGAUGCUUCUUGCAAAGCCAACUUAUUUCAUUUAUGUGUUUAACAUAUAACAUGUAUGCCAUGAGAUUGCAUUAGGCAUUUGACAAAUAUUUAACACUCAUGAGCAAACCUAUCAGGUGGGUCCUGUUGGUAUCUGCAUUUUACAGAUGAGAGAAUGAGAUAAUCUGAGCAUAAUGGAUCUAGACCAAAGAGCUAUUAAGCGACAGAGCCACAUUUCAAAUCCAAGUGGUCUACCUCUAGAGUAAUUUCUCUAGACAUUCGUCCUGGGGCCCCUGAAGGUACCCAAGACCUUUGGGAAUUUAUGAAAUACUUCCUUUCCAACUACACGUCUAUGAGGCCAACUUCUUCCUAUCCUUGAGCCAAAAGACGUCUCAUUAUAGACUGCAUACAGAAGCAGAAAUAAUGAUGCAGUCGUCUUCUGUCAAGCCAUUCAUUAGAGAUUUGCAAAACCGUAUAGCAGUGCCAUUCUUCACACUAAUUCUUUUUUUGUUUUAGAAAACAUGAUUAGGCUGGACGCGGUGGCUCACACCUAUAAUCCCAGCACUUUGGGAGGCCGAGGCAGGUGGAUCAGGAGGUCAAGAGAUCAAGACCAUCCUGGCCAACAUGGUGAAACCCCGUCUCUACUAAAAAUAAAAAAAAUUAGCUGGGCACGGUGGCAUGCACCUGUAGUCCCAGCUACUCGGGAGGCUGAGGCAGGAGAAUUGCUUGAACCCAGGAGGUGGAGGUUGCAAUGAGCCGAGAUCACGCCACUGCACUCCAGCCUGGUGCCUGGCGACAGAUCAAGACUCUGUCUCAAAAAAAAAAUGAUUAUUAAAAUAUUAUGUUUAACAUGCAGGUUUAUUUUAAGUAAAUGACUAAAUAUUUUGGAAUUUUCUCAGUUCUAAUUCAUAAUUAAAUAUCAGUAAAUAUAGGACAUGUAAAUUCAAGCUCUUGCAUGUAGUCAAUUUUUUUAACAGUGUAAAGAGGUACAGAGACCAACAGGUUUGUGGAUAGGUCCUCUGAACCCAUAGUGUGUUUCCCCACUCCUUUGUCUCAGCUCCAGAUUCCUCUGCCUUCCCUACUAUUUCAGCUGUAGUGAUCACUUGAAAAGGGGAGCCUUAUUUCCUGAAGGCAAAGGUGAUUUUUCAUAUCUGAAGGGAGCAUCUAUGGGCUGAGGAAUAUGAGCUUUGCAGCCGAAGGCCUGGAUGUGAAUCCAAACUCAGCUGUCUUACAAGAGCAAGCCCUGGGAGUUAAACAACCUAGGUUUCCUUCAGUUACCUUAUGCUUCAAAUGGUUGGUAGUAGUAUCUACCCAGUGGGAUUAUAAUGAGGAUCAUAAGAGUUAAUAUAUGCAAAAUGCUUAAACUGUCUCUGGUGCAUAUGAAGUGUUCAAAUACAAGCUCCAUUACUGUUGUUAAGUUUCUAUUGUUAUGAGAAUUAUAGAAGAGUCUAAUGUGAUUUUUAUAUUCUAUAAGUUUUCUUAAAAUUUCUCUUCUCAUUUCCGUGAAUAUAUAUAUAGUUUUUAAUUAAAGCCCAACCUUCCCUUUGUAGUUUGUUUGCCAAAGCAGAGUCAGGUCUAUGACAGUAGCCUUGAUGUUUAUUGUGUGGUUAGUUCUAUUUGGGGUGGUGUUGCUCUUGAAAUGCAUUUCUUUUCUUGUAAGCCCAUAAAUACUGAUGUUAAAGCUGUCUUUCCUCCUCCCUGGACGAAUUCCCUCAAUUGCUUGCAAUUCACAUCCUGUAAACCUACAGAUUUUCCUUCCCCCUCCUCCCACCACAUUAAGUGGUGCUGUUGGUGUUCUGUGCCAGGGGCAGGGAUCUCCUGCCUUCCACUGAGCUCUGCAGCCUUCCUGCCAGCUGCAGUCCACAUCACCUCCCACUUUCAGGCCCGUAGUUGGUUUUCUUCCCAGCUUGUGCUCACACUAGGGUGGAAUAUUACCCUCUGAUAAUGGCUUGUUUCUCUAGCAGCUCUUGCUUGGCUCCAGGUCAGAGACUUUCCUCCCGGUACCACUCAGUGCCUGCCUGUUCAUUUGUGGUGCCCACUGUCUUGUCUGCCUUGCCUCACCUUGUCUGUGGGAGGUCACUGUCCCUCCCGAGAAUGCAGUGACUAGCUGCAUUGUAUCUGGUGAGGCAGCCUCUGCUCACGUGCUCUUCUGACAGAUUACAGCCUGUCUUCCCACUAGGGGCUCCUCAGAGUUAGACACCAAAGGCUGCUGUCAGUGCAGCCGUUGGUGGGAAGGUCCUCAGUGUCCAAAGUUACCCUUAGCAUUUUCAUGUGUCUGUAGGAACGCUUUCAUGUGACUUCUGUUUCUCCUGAUGAAUCUGGGAAGAUUUCUGUCCUCUCAGGGACUUCCAGGUUGUCUUACUGAUAUUGGAGGCAAAAUGCCUUGUGAUAAACACCAGAGGGUUUUUGUCAUUGUUGUUCACAUAAUUAUAACUCUUGUUAUUAUUGUUUUAAAACUUAAUUUCUUUUUAAGUUCAGGGAUACAUGUGCACCACGUGCAGAUUUGUUACAUAGGUAAACAUGUGCCAUGGUGGUUUGCUGCAUCCAUCAACCAUCACCUAGGUCUUAGGCCUAGCACACAUUAACUAUUCAUCCUGAUGCCCUUCCUCUCUUCACCCCACUGACAGGCCCCAGUGAAACAGGGGAGCUCCCUUGAUCACUUUGUGGGUGAGAACUGAAGUUGCUUAUUUCACUCAGCCCACCACUGGCCACUUCUCACAGGAGUUUGCUAGCAAAUGAGCAUGGGAACCAGAGUGAGCGAACUCUGGAGCUGCUGGCUGCUGCUCUUUGGCAGGCACAGGCCCUGUGCAUGCCCCAUGGCAGCAGCCAAGUGUGUUGCAACACUCUUUCAGCUUUGCCAUCUGCAGACAGCUUGAGUGUUAACCAGCUCAGUGAAGAGUCAGUGUGACAGCCUUUUUGGGUUCCCACAUCCAGUGCAUCCUGAAUUCUUGUCCAGUGUUCAGGAAGAAUCAGGUCACACAAACAGAUUAAAGAGUAGUAUAUGCAGAGGAUUUUACUGGGUGAUGAAGGUGGCUCUCAGCAGGAUGGGGAGCUGGAAAGGGAAUGGAGUGGGAAGAUAAUCUUCCCCUGGUAAUCAGCCCUCCCUGGCCAAACUCCUCUCCAACCUAGUCUCCGAUGUCCAGCUACCUCUUUUCCUCUCAACAUUCAGGAGCUUCUUCUCUUUGCUCCUGUCCUUCUCUGCUCUGACACUCUGCUGCUCUUCUGUUCAUAGAUCCUGGGGUUUGGGAUUCUUAUGGCUACAGGAUAGUGGGCAGGGCAUGUCAAAGUGGUCUUGGAAAAGGCAACAUUCUGGGACAAACAGGUAGGCCUGUUCCAUUUAAGUUCACGGACGGGUCCAGACUUGAGGAUAGAGCCCUCACCAGGGACCCUGCCCUCCUGCCUCCUGUCACUAUCACCAGCUGUGUCCAUGUGUUCUCAUUGUUCAGCUCCCUCUUACAAGUGAGAACAUGUGGUAUUUAGUUUUCUGUUCCUGUGCGUGUUUGCUGAGGACAAUGGAUGGAGCUGGAAGACUGGAGGAUUUUAAACUUCAGAGGGAAUCUAUUCUUGGUUAUGUUUCACUGAAAACCAUUUGUCUUUUUUAUGUAGAGGAAAAUUAUUUUGUGAUUAAAUAUUUAAAUUUUUGCUUAUUUGGACCACUGUUUCUGCCAAGAAAGUCAUGAGCUGACUUACAGAAAUAGAGUACAACACCUUUAUUUUUACUAUAAGUGAGAAAUUGAGGCUGAGGAAAAAUACCUAAGAAAUCCCAUAGGUAUUAUGUGAAUAUAAUAUUCAAAAUAAAAGUAAAUAGAAUUUAACAAUUUCAAGCACAGUAAAGUUGAAAGAACCGUUCAGUGAUCACCUGUUUCUCUCUACUGAGAUUCGUUAACUUUGACAUCCUGAUGGACCCAUGCCAUAUCUCUAAAGACACUGCCUUUGUGCCAAACCAUCUAACAAAUAGUAGUCUGCUGCAGACAUUAGGAGACUUUACUCCUACAUAAUUCAGCAUGCAUUUUCCAAGAGUAAGGAAGUGUUCCCACACAACUAACCCCACUUACUUCUGUACCCAGGAAAAUUCGCAUUAGUUCAGUGAUAUCAUAUUUUCCAUAUUCAAAUUUUCUCAGUUGGCCUUUCUUUUUCCCUCCAUGACACAGUCAUGAUUCAUAAAUUACAUUUGGUUAUUAAAUAUUUUAAAAUAUGUAACAAUUGUUUAACUCAUUUGGAUAGUCAUAGCUUUAUUUGAAGAUUCCAAGCCAGAUGUCCCAUGCAACAGCACACUAUCUUGAUCCAUCUCUGUUUUCUCCUGAUUCCAUUCAUUUAAAGCACUUUUGGCAAGAACACCAAAUAGGUUAUGUUGUCUUCUUACCUCUGCAUCAUGUCAGAGGGCACCCUGUCAGGCUAUAGGAAACACUAUUGACAAUGCCAAGCUUGACUAUUUGGUUACUUGAUGACUGCCAGAUUGCUCCACUGUAAAAGAUACUUUUUUCUUUUUAAUUAUUUUGUAAUGGGGUGAUACUGCAGUUCACCACUUAUUAUCUGAAAUUCAAAGAGAAAGCUGAAUUUAUUGUAAAGGAGAACCAUGCAAGUUGAAUACAGUCUGAGUAGAUUAAAGAGGAAAGUAUAGAGUUAAGUAGAUUUGCAGAACUAAGUGAAACAUGUAGAAACAUGGUGAUUCAGCUGAGGGGGAGGGCAGGUUGCUUAAUUGGCAUUUAGAGAUGUGUGAAUCUGUUUCUGAUUGGCUGACUUUUACCAAUAAAAGGCUGUUACUGAUUGGUUGACUAGGAAGUGCCCCUUAAAUAGACUUUACUCUGAUUCAGAAUGCUACUUGUUACCAUGGCUACAUAUGAGCCAGUCAUUUCCUAGGUUUGUGGCAACUUGAAUUAAUAGAAAUAUCUUGUUCCACAGUAAGAUUUCUUCUAAUUGUUUGUUUUAGCAUUUGUUGAUGAUUCUUUCUUGAGUCAUUUAUAAUAUAGGGUAAAUAAGAUGUUGGCUUUCUACUUUUGCCAUUCUUUCAACAUGUACUUACAGGCAUUAUUCUGUAAGGAAGAACUUUACCUCUCCUCAGUUUUUUUUUUAGCUCCUUCUUUUCUGUUGCGGUUUCUCUCUCAUCUAGUCAACUGAGAUCACUUUUAAUUCAAUGUUUUAGAAUCCAUUUAUUAUAUCAUUUUGAUUUGCCCAAUUUGACAGCAGAAACCCCUUUAUUCAGACAUCUCUGUCCUUUUGAUAUAACUUUGUGUUUAAGCAUGUCCUCAUUUCCUGGCAUAACAUACUUUCUCUGCUCCACACCUGGAAUUAGCUAUUUGAUUCAUUUUAGUAGAAGGUAAUUAGAAACCAAGAUCUGGGCAUUAAGUGUGCUCAUUGUUACUAAGGUUACAUUGUUUCUAGGCCCUUCUUGUAGAAAGGACUGGAAAAUAUGUAUGCAUGUAUACAUCUAUUUUAAGUCAUGGAUUGAUACUGAUAUCUCCAUUGAAAUCCAGCACUGUGUGGGUAGUUCCUCUCAUCCCAUUUUACAUUUAUGUUUCUCUUCUAUUUAUUCUGUGGUCUUCUAGUACCCUCAAAAUAAUUUCAGAAUUUUAACAUCAAAAUUUCUAAAUUUUUGAUUAAAAAUAAAUUGUCUAAGUUGAAAGUAUCUUUAGAGAUACCUUAGAUUUUUCUAUAGUUGUAGCUUGAUUGUCUUAAAACAUAUAAAGCAAUGUUUGUCCAUGCAGAAUGAGACAUUCUGACGGGACCAUUUCUGUAUAGCCCAAUACUGAAGGAAUUGAGAUAAUGGUGGUAAUUAUAGUUAGCAUUUUUUGAAGGAUUAGUAUGUCUCCAGCACCAUUCUCAGUACUAUACAUAUUUUCUGUUAAUCCUUGUAAAAACCCUUUAAUGUAGUUAAUAUUAUCCUUUUUAUAUCACUGAUGAAUAACUUUAUGCAAAGUCACACUGGGAAUAAUGGGCAAACAUCAGACUGACACCCAGGCAGUCUGAUGAUAGGGUUUAGAUUCUUGACCUCUGCUGUACAUGUGUUUUACAUUUUUAGUAAUAAAAAUAGCUACUCAUUUUUACCUGCAUUUCCCCUAUCAUCAGAACACUUUUCAGCUCUUGAUUGGAAUUUCUUCUUGGUUUGUCAUUAACACUAGAUAUAAGACCUCAGACAUUAGACUAUGCUUCUGCUAUGUCCUAUUGAAUUUACAACAUAUGCUAUGUUACAUCAUGUAUAAAUGCAGUUAAUGGAUUUUUAAUCAUGGCAUUAUAGUCAUCCCUAUAUGCCAUUGUGCUAAAACCUUAAAUUUAGAUUUAAUAUUUUGGAAUCUUAGUUGUACAGAUUAGGUAUUAAUUUCCACAUUGUUGGGGGGAAAAACAGGUUCAAAAAGGUAACAUGAUUGCCCGCAGCCCUUCAGCUAGUAAAUACCAGAGACUUGCACCCACAUCUUCUUAUCUCGGAAGUCUGUUCUUUAUCGUCUUUGAUGAGAUCUCAUUUUCUAAUGAAACUCGUCCCAGUCCACCUUGUUGGUAUGAAAGGAUACAUAUUUGACUUGCUUUGCAAAAAUGAGAUAAAAGGCCAGUUAGAUGCCAUUAUAGUCAGCAGGUGCUCCAUUCAAAUUCAAGGAAUUGAAAUAUGUAGAAGAGAGAAUAUUUUUUAGGGGUUCCUAAAAUUCCUGCAAGGAAAACAAAAAUGAAUAGUGGCUGUUUAAACUCUUGUAGAAACUUAAUAACAAUUGGGCUUCUUUGGGCUUGCAGAAUAUGUGAAACUGGCUCCGAAUUGCAAGUGAAUUACAAAGUGCAGCUGUUACCCAUCAGUCCUGGCUUAACUGUGCUUGGUUUUGACUGCUGUCCUAGUCUUCUCCACUCCCCAAGAUGCCCAUCUCAGGCAUCGGGUUUCCUUUUUGCUAUCCUUGGUUUCCUGUGUUCCUCAUUCCUGACCUUGGUUUUAUGAGAUCCACAAUAUUUUGCCACUGAAGCUGACAUUUCAUUCAUUUUCCAGAGACAAAGGUAAAGAAAGCAAAAUAAGAGUACUAGUAACUCUGGGCUAAGUGCUCUUUGUAGUCAACUUCACCAAACUGUAGGUUAAAGCUGCUGGGGUUUGUAUCACUCAUUGGCAUCUCUGUGAAUGAUAAUGUUGGCAAAGGUUGAGAUGGUAGCAAGGUUUCUUUACCAGGUACGUGGAGCAUUCACCGAAACAAAAAACUAAGAGAAUGAAAAAAAUUUUUUUUCCUAUUUCUUAGAAAGACUAUAUCCAUAAUGUUAAAGAGACUCAUUGGGUAGUUUUCUCUGAAAAUAAAACAGAUCACUGUCAACAGAGAAGGAAAGACUAUUCUGAAUUAGAUAUGUAGCCACAGAAAUGGCACAUGAAGGUAAUAUAAAGAGAUAAAUGUGCUUAGAAAACUAAAGUGGACAUGCUUUCCAUGUCAUCCGUCACUUAAAAUAGCAGAUAUAGUUUACAUUUCAUUGUAAUUUCUAAGUGGUGGUCUAGGGCAGUAAACAAAUGUCACUGGGCUUUUUACAGAUUCCAUCUGAGAUAUGAUCAUAGGAACAGUAUAAUGGAUUUAUGAAGAUUAUGAAUGUGGAUUCAGGCCAACAGAUGUGAAUCCCAAUGCGGCCAUUUAUUAUCUGUGUGACUUUGGACAACUUAGUUGUCUUACCUGAGAAUCAGCUUCUAUUUAUGUAAAAGUACACAAGAUUGGAAAGCUAUGGGAAGCAGGUCAUAGACUCAAAAGGGAAAGCUGAGCACAAACAGACCUCAGAAAUAAUAAAAGUUAGGGCAUCUCUGGGCAUCCUGGUCACAGUAAUGACAGUCACAUCAGGAUACUGCCAUUGAAGUGUUGUAGCUCGAGCCAUACAGGUCCAGGUAUCAUUUGGAAAUGCCAAGAGUCACAUUCCCAGAGCAUGCUGUCUUUUUGGCUUGUCCUAGAUCUCUUGCCUAGUAGGUAAGGCAUUUUAUUUUGAUAGCCCCCCGGGACUGCUUGCAAUGGGGAGGUGCAGGUACUCUAAAUUAAUUUGGGUGGGAAUAUCGGAAGAGAAACUUAGCAGGUAGACAUCACCGAUGGGUACUAUGUAGGUCUUAAGAGGGACUCUUAAAGCAGAGAUUUGUGUGUGUACAUUUAUUUGUCUUUACUUCACGAGCCAGGUGUGGAUUAGUUUUUUUUUUUAAACCAAAUAUAUAGGAAUUUGGCAUGAUUACAGCAGUGUCUUAUAAUUGGCUUUUUCAGAAGCUAAUCUGCGAUGCCAUAAGCCUCUACUGCAAAGAUUGUUGGAACUCAUCUUUAAAAUUCAAGAUGUCAAAGAAAAAACCCUCAUAGUAUCAUGUAAAUCUUACAUAUUUGGAUUAGAAUUUAUCCAGAUAAAUAGAAGGAACAGAAUUUGAGUUAGCUCAGAGGGUAGGGUCUCUGGCAUUUUGGAGUACUUUGAAGUAUUUAUAUUUUUCAUCUCUUCUAAAAAUAUGACAUAAAUUAUAUGGAAGGAGAAAAAACAUAAAUUCUGCAAUGAAGUCUAAAUUGAUAUUCACUCACUUGUCCAAAGAGUCUUCCUAAGAUUCACAAGUUUGACAAACAAAAUUUAGGUACACACCAUUAUUCGGAAAUAACAGUUUCCACCUGUAACUGUGGUGGCUGGGAGUUGAAAUGACCUUCCAUUAUGAGUUAUUUUCAAGUAGUCAAAAUUAAUUGAUAAGUCAAAUUCAAAAUCUAGAGACAUUUCUUUUUUUUUUUUGAGAUGAAGUCUCAUUCUGUCACUCAGGCUAGAGUGCAAUGGUGUCAUCUCGGCUGACUGCAACCUCCGCCUUGCAGCGAUUCUUCUGACUCAGCCUCCCAAGUAGCUGGGAUUACAGGCGUGUACCACCAUGCACGGCUAAUUUUUUGUAUUUUUAAUAGAGACGGGGUUGAACCAUGUUAGCCAGGAUGGUCUCGAUCUCCUAAUCUUGUGAUCCACCUGCCUCAGCCUCCCAAAGUCCUGGGAUUACAAGCAUGAGCCACCAUGCCCAGGCCAGCCAACAUUGUUACUUAUAUUCCUUCUUUAGUGUAAGAUCUGUCUCUUCAUGGAUAGCAGUACUAUAGAAUAUCCUUUUUCUAACAUGCAGUACUGUAUUCACAGUGCUGAUCUUUCUGGUUUUACUUCCUAAAUUUCACAAAUCCAUCUAUUUCUCUAAUUUCUAAUGCCAGCGUCCUAAUCCGAGCCACUAGGAUUACUCAGCCAGUUUAUUUACUCUACAGUCCCUGCAAUGCAUUCUCCAUGUAGUACUCAGAGCUUUGACAAACACAAGCUGAUCACAGAACUCCCUACUUUAUUCCCAUUGAAAAACCUUUGUCAUUCUUUUAUAAAGACACAUGCAUGCAUAUGUUCAUUGCAGUGCUGUUCACAAUAGCAAAGAUAAAGAAUCAGCCUAAAUGCUCAUCAAUGGCAGACUGGAUAAAGAAAAUGUUAUACAUUCAAACCAUGGAAUAUAUGCAGCCAUAAAAAAGAACGAGGCCAUGUCCUUUAUAAUGACAUGGAUGGAGCUGGAGGCUGUUAUCUUUAGCAAACAAAUACAGGAAAAGAAAAGCAAAUACCACAUGUUCUCGCUUUUAAGGGGGUGUUAAAUGAUGAGAACACAAGGACACAUGGGCCAGGGAAACAUGUAUACUGGGGCUUAUCAGAGAGUAGAAGGUGGAAGGAGGGAGAAGAUCAGGAAAAAUAACCAAUGGGUACUAGGCUUAAUAUCUGGGUGGGGAAAUAAUCUGUACAACAAAUCCCCAUGACACAAGUUUACCUAUGUAACAACCCUGCCUCCAUACCCCUGAACUUAAAAUACAAGUUUUUUGUUUUUGAAAAACAAUUUUUGCUAGCUACCUUCUAUAGAUAAAGACCCUAGCUUUUUAAAUCAGGCCUUCAAAGUCCUCUGGUCUUGCUUUGGUCUUUCUCUCCAAUCUGACCACAUAUCAGGCCUCCCUCCUUCCUCCAUGCCCAGCCAUACCAGCCUCUUUCAUUCCUGCACCAGUGUUUCCUUCAGCCAUGAGGCCUUUGCAUGUUGUUUCUCUCUUGACUGGAAUGUUUUUGCAUUGUCUUUUUACCUUGUUAACGCCUGUUCAUUCUACCAAUGCCAGCUUACGUAUCCCUUCUUCUAGAAGGGCUCUUUUGAAACCUCAGUCUUGGCCACUUUCCUUUAUCAUUUGUUCUAAUGGAACCAUGUUUCGCUCCUGCAUAGCAUUUACUUGUUUGUAAUUCGCAUGUGCUAGAAUGAGAGUACAAUUUCCAUUUUCUUCCUCUAGACUAUGAGCAGGGGCAGUAUAUGCUUUUUUUUUUCAUUAUGGUAACCUCAGCAUGAUGAUUUAUACAUACUAAACAAUCACAAUUUAUUAAAUGAAUUAAUUAAGACUUAGGGAUGGUAUAUCAGUCAGUUUUUAUGGGGCUACAACCCUGGAAUCUUGGUAGUUUUUACAUCAUCAUCAUUCAUUCUUGUUCACAAAUCUGCAGGUCAGCUGUGGCUCUGCUGGGCUUGGCUGGGCUAGGCUGGCUUUGGGUCUGCUCCACUGUCUUCUCAUUCCAUUUACUCAGGCUGAAGAAGCAGCCACUAUCUAGAACAUUUUGUUCUUACAGUAGAGAGCAGGAUCUUAGAAGACCCAGACCACAUGCAUACCUUUAAAGCUUUCUUUGGGAGGGCCAUGUGUUAUAUCCACUUACGAUCCAUUGGCCAAAGCAUAUCACAGGACAAUCUUAAUCAGCAAAGCAAAGAAGCAUCCUCCUUCCACAGUGUGGGAGAAGAGGAGAAUAAAUAUUUGUGAAGAAAAUGUUGCCAUCUGCCAUAGACGGUAAAUAUGCUUGUCCAAGAUUUUCAGACAGAGGAAUAUCGGCUCUGUGUAAUGACUCUAAAACUAUGGAUUUGCCAAACAAUCUCUGUAAUAUAGGUAAUAUAUAACACAUAAUUUCUCCAGAGGUGCCAGUGUUCAAGAGUUGCAGUUUACAAAAUGAAAUGAGCUUCAUACUCUUUGCUACAGAUCCUGUGGACUACAUCCAUCCCUUCCUACCUACCUUCCACCCUCAAAAAAGAUCCAUGUGAAAAACAGGCAUCAACCAUGUGUGCUAUAUAUCCAGUGUUUACAGAGUAUUUCAUUAGUGCUUACUGUACAAAAAGAACUGUGAAAUAACUUGUAAAGCUCAGUUCUAUUGUCUGUGAAACAUGGGAAAAGAUUAUUAAAGUUGCACAUUUUACUCAUGGUUUUGUUGAUUAUGGAAGAAAAUAGGACUAAUGAUAAAGUUGGUCGUGUUUAGGAAAUUGCUGCAAAAUGAGAAGUAAUCAAACCAGACUUGUAGAAAUGGCGUAAUAGUUUCUUUUACUAAAAGCUGAGGUGGGUUGGCAUGAGGAGGCCAUAUUUGGUAACUCUGGGGUUAAUGCUACCAAAUUCAAACUUAUUAACAGUAGAAGAAUGACAAUAAUAUAGAAGUUGUCAGAGUUUGGAAAGAGAUUUUACCCAUUGGAUGAAAGAAUGCCUUUGGAAUGCCAUUUGAUGCCAACGGGAUAGCAGAAAUCUAAGAGUUUAUCAACAUCUUGGCCAAGACAAUCAGCAGGGGAUUUGGGCAGCUCUCUGAGAUUUACUACAUGAAAAAUAGCAAUCAAAAACAGAGCCCACAUAAUAUGUAUUCCCAAUUCACAGUCUCAUUAUCAUAAUAGAGCUGGAAGAAACCAUGGAAGAUGAUCUCCUCCAGAUGGAAAGCAAAGGUGAAAAGUAUAAAUAAAAGUGAGAAUGUGCAUCUGUAUUAGUCACAAAUGGCUUAUAAAUAUUUUUGUAACUUUGUCAUAAGAUGUUUUACAAGAAGUUUUAGAGAAAAUUUCCCAAUAGCUAACAUUUACAUCUUUUCUAUGAGGCUUACAUAUUUAGUAAUAACAGCUACCUCUUAUUUAAUUCUGACUUAACGACACUUGGCAUAGAUAGUGAAAGAAGCCUAGGGGUAGGGAAAUAAUCUGUCCACACUCACCACCUAGCAAGUAGUGGAGUCUCAAUAUAAAUGAAGCCAUCCUCAUUGCAAAAAUUAUUUCCUUAACUACUUAGCCAUAGCAGAGGCCUGGAACCAGCCUUGUUUAGGUAAAUUACCUGGUUUAGCCUUUUAUCUAUUAAAACAAAGGAAGGAACAAAAGUAGUGGGUUUCAGAUAGAUUUCUGCCCAUUAUUUUAUGGUUUGAUUUUUUUCUGUUUUUACAGCUCAUGAUCUAAAUAGGAGAAAAAAAGUAGCUUUGACAAAUGUCCAAAAAUAGGUCUGACAAACCUUUUUGGGUGAUGGUGGGCAGGGAGGUAGGUAUUCCCCCUGUCCCUCGGGACCUGUUGUUUCUUCCUGUUGUUGACAUACUGGCAUAUAGCACUUUGAUUUCCACUUUGAAAUUACAGGUCAGAAUUUGUGCUUUCAGACCAUUGAACAUAAUGUAGUUGUUCCUUUUUCUCAAACUUUGAAAAAGUAUUUAAAUUUAGUAGUGAUUUAACUUACAUUUCCACAUUGGGCUUACUACAGGGCAGAAAGGCUACCCAGCUGUGUAACUAAGUUAUAUGACCUUAGGGGACCAUUUUAUCCUUCUCACAAUUAAAAAUAUAUAUAAUUUCAAAAGCAUAUUUUCUUUUGUAUUAAUUUUCUUUCUUUGUAAAUCACUUAUCCAUUGGAGUUGUGGUUGAAUACAGAGUCUAUGCACUAUUGCUGAAGCUCUCAAGGCUUCAUGAGACUCCUUGGAUCAAUAUAUUAUAUUUGGCAGUUCAUGUAUUAACUGUGUUAUACAAUUAUAUUUAACAAAUGACUGUGAUGUGAAACAUUUGAGUUAGGAUCAUAAAUAACUUUAAACUACUUAUUCAGCAGCUUUGUUGAACUGAAAAAUGUUUUUAAGUGUAAUUGACAUUGGUGGCUAUGAAUAUGGUUGGAUGCUUAUAUUUUGACAAUAUACUUCACAAUUCUUUUUUCUGGUCAUUUGAGCUAUAUGGUUAUUUAUCUGUGUAGUAAAGUUAACGUCACUUUGUGAUAUAAUCUGGUGAUACCACAUAAAAUAGGGCUUACUUGCUCUUUCUUACAAAUCAAUACCAUGUGUUAUAAAUAAAAUGAGCAAGCAUUUAAUGCUGUUGAUUUUUUUUGUGUGCAAAAGUAUGAAGUAAAAAGACUCCUAAUCCUGCUGCCCAGAGAUAAUCCCUGUUAAUCUUUUAAAAUGUGUUGUUUUCUUCUCAUCUUCUCCAAAAUAGUUUUAGAUAAAACUAGAAUACUACUCCACAUGUAAUGGGAUAUCCCAUUCUUUUGAUUCUAAUAUCAUAAGCGUUUGUUUUUAUUGUCAAAAGUGUUCAUUAACUUCCUUUUCAAUGGUUUCAUAAUUUUCAUCAAUUUCAUUAACUGUUAUUAUUUUACCUGGUUUUGAAUAGUUUGUUUCGCAAUUUUAACUAUUAGAAGUCUUUCUACAGCCAAUAUAAAAUUUAUGUGCCCAUACAUUUGCCAUAGUUAUUUAUGUUACUGUGUAUUAAUUACAUACAUAGACACUCGUUAAAUGUAGGAGUGAAGUAUUGAAAGAAAACUGAGACUAGCAUCUUUGCUAUCAUAGGGCUUCUUGGAUAAGAUACAUACACAUAAAUGAUAUAAAUGUCAUAAUGAUAAAUGUUUGAGAGCUCAAUGAGUAGACAUAGAAUAAGAUUUCACAUAUACCCAAAAGCAAAGUAGAAAAAUAUUUUGCUACUACUCACUGAAUAGUAAUAAUUUUCCUAAUAUAUGCUAAUUUUAUAAGUGAUAAUGUAUUCUGCUAAUUUGCAUUAUUUGAUUACUAGCCAGGAAUUCUUGAGCAUUAUUUUAAAGUUAUUUUACUGAUGAAGAAAUCGAGGCUCAGAUAGGUGAGCAAUUUAACCAAUGUCACACAACUAAGGAAGAAAAUCUAGAGCUGACCCCACGUUUUUCUAAUUCUGACACCAGUGUUCUUAGCCAGUACAGCAUAAACGUAGCUUUGUUGCUUCUGAGAAGCAUUCCAUUUUUCUUAAUAUUCAGCUACAGUACCAUUAAGUAUCACUAAUGUGUCGCAGUUACCAUCUAAAUAGAAAUCACUAAAUUCUGGAUCGAGUAAAUUUCUAAGUUUUGGCCAUAUUCCUUUCUGCCACUUUGAUUUUUUUAAUAAUAGCAUUUAUGAUAUAAACUUCACAUACCAUGCAAUUCACCAAUUUAAAGUGAUUUCAAUAGCUUUUACUAUAGUCAAAGUGUUGUCUUCAGCCCUCAUGACCACAGACUGUUUUGUCACUGCCGUUGGGUUCAGGCUCUAGCUGUCUGUUCUACUGAGUGCUUAACAUAGUGUCUGGUACGUGGUAGGCACUAAAUAAAAACAUUCUCAAAUGCUUAAACAAGAUUUUUUAAUGUUGCGUGACAUUAUUGUGCUGAGCACUGGAAGAAUUGCUGACACUCUGUCCUCUAGAACUUUGCAGGAUCCUUGGAGGUUAAGACCUAAACACAUGAGGAAAGGAACUUCAGAGUAGAGUGUUUGAUUAGAUGUCAAAUGAGGAGACCAGCCAAUGAUUUUUAUUACUGACGUCACAGGGAGAUAAGAGAAUGCCGUGUCAUGCAAGGUCAUCUAGGACAGCUCCUCAGGGACAGGGGCUUCUUACUGGCCCAAUUCAUGGUGGCCCAGGUCUUCAUUCCUCUAUGACCACUGAGAUGCAAUGACUUUUGGCCAGCUUUCAAAGCCUUAGUAAUCUUUCCCAGGCUGCUGGGAUUAAUAACCCAGAAGGCCAUAGUUCUUGCUUUACUCUUCCUGUGUUCUAAGAUCUUAGAUUUUAACUGAGAGAAGAACGAGGUCCUGGGACACCCCCAGAGUAUCAUAACUACUAUCACUUUUUGUUCUUCCUGCCUCCUCUACUGGAUCCAAAGAAGGCAAUUUUUCACAUCACUGGCAACCUAAGCCAGCCUGAUUGCUUCUUUCUCUGAAAUCUUGUUGCAUGUCUACUCAUUGUUCUCUCAGUCAUGGGUCAUUAAUUCAUUUGUUUACAUCAUUUAUGUGUAUGAACCUUAUCAAAGAAGCCCCUGGAUGGCAGAGGUGUCACAUUUUAGGUUUUCUUUAAGUACUUCACUCCUACAAGUACUGAGUGUGUAAUACACAUGUGUAUGCAUGUAAUAUACAGUAAUAUGAAUAAUUUCAAGCAAAAGACAUAGUAUCACUUCAUCACCUUUCCAACAGAGAAAGUAGUGGUUCCAAAAUUUGUAGCUCCUUGGUAUUUCUUAAUGUGGAUAUGUGAUAUCUUGAUCUAAAAUAACAGGUUUCCAAAGGACUGAGAAUCUCCUGGGAUGUUAGUUAAAAUGCAGAUUCCUGGACUCUGCCCUGAUUCCUAACUCAAAAGAUUCUGAACUCGAAAGUUGAGUGUAGGAGCCAGGAAAUGGAACUCAAAACAACAAGCCAGCCACCUGCAGAUAAUUGUAACUUAUAUCCGUGUAUCAACUAUGACAGGCAUUAGCUUAGUCAAGGUUUAGAGAAAUAAUAUGCAUCAGUUAAUCAUAAUGGGAAGAGCUGGAAUAAAUGUGGGUUAGUUUGGAUCUUCUAAUUUAAAAUAAAAAAUAUCUAUAGAACUGAGUAUUACACAGUAUAGUAUCACAAUUCUAGGAGGCUAUGACUUGAAUUACUCUUUAAAUUUUGUGUUUAUAUAUCUUAUAUUAUCAAAUAAGAUAAAUAGUGGCUGCCUACCACAAGUUAUCAAAAAACAUGAAACAUAUAUUGAAGUCUGGCUCCUUGGAUCAUAUUUUUUUAAGUCAUCCCUUGAAAAAUGGUGGUAAGAAAUGGUUUCUCAGCCUCUUUUCCAGAAUGGCCUGUUCUAAGAUGAGCGAAUCCGUUUUUUGCCCCCUAAUUUGGCAGAUUAGCAUAUUAGACCCUCCAGCUGAAAGAGCAAAGUUCACUUGAGUUCAGUUCAACAGAUCUUAAAUGUUACUUGCUAUCAGGCUGGGGUUUUGCCAUAACUUUUAUUGCAAAAAUUGCAGUUACUUUUGCACCAACCAAAUAUGUGCCAAGCCCUGUGUUAGCCACUGGGUAUAAUGUUUUCUUCCAAAAAGAAACCAAACAAUUCUUGCAUAAUACUUGCCAGAGGUCAGGCACUGUGUUAGUGCUUUGAUUUCAGCCAGCUGACCUAAUGAAUAGGGCACCAAUACAACUCUUAUUUUUCCCCCCAUUUUGAGUUGGAGUCUCACUCUGUCACCAAGGCUGGAGUGCAGUGGCCUGAUCUUGGCUCACUGCAACCUCUGUCUCCCGGGUUCAAGUGAUUCUCCUGCCUCAGUCUCCCUAGUAGCUGGGAUUACUGGUGUGCACCACCACGCCUGGCUAAUUUUUUUGUAUUUUUAGUAGAGAGGGGGUUUCACCAUGUUGAUCAGGCUGGUCUUGAACUUCUGACCUCAAAUGUUCCACCCAUCUCAGCUUUCCAAAGUGCUGGGUUUACAGGCAUGAGCCACCAUGCCUGGCUAGAGCACCAGUACAACUCUUGCUAGGUGACAUGAUUUUGAAGGAGCUUUCUUUUGGGCUACAGAAUUUUAAUCCAGAAGUGUUUCAGUAAAAACACACAAUGGACAACAACCCCUUUAAAAGGAAUAACUAUACUUUAUUUAUUAAGAAUAUACACUGUGUACUAGACCAGGAGCUGGCAAACAUUCUCUGUAAAUCUUUUCUGGGCCAUGUGGUCUCUGUUGUACCUACACAACUAGGCCAUUGUAGUGUGAAAGCAACAUCAUCAGUAGAUGAACAGGUGAACAUGGCUGUGUACCAGUAAAGCUUUAUUUACAAAAACAGAUGUCAGGGUGGUUUGGCUCUAGAGCCAUCAUUUGCUGACCUCAAAUUAGACACAGAGUUGUCUAUCGUGAAUGAGUGAAUACGUAAAUCUAUCAUUUAAUUAGUUUCUACUAUGUGCCAGACUCCAGAUGUAUAACAGUGAAUAGUCAGAUAAGGGUCCUCCUUUUAUUCUUGUGUGCAGAGGUUGACAAUAAAAGAUGACACCCAUAAACAUGAACUCAUGAGUCACAAACAACAUGAUUUUCUAUUUUGAAUACAAUAAAAGGAAGAGUAUGGUUGAGAUUGAGGGACUGCUUGAGACAGAGUGGUAGGGAGUUGUCUUUUUGCUGGUGACAUGUACUCUAAGAACUGACAAGGAUAGACCAGCCUAGUACGGGGAAUUGGGCAGAGAAGUCCAGGUAGAAGGAAAGAAGAGCAAAGGCUCAGGAGCAGAAACAAGUUUGCAUGAUCAAUAAUGUUUAAAAAAAAACCACAAAGCAAAACCUGUGGGGGUGAAGCAUGGUGAAGAAGUAGGAAGAUGCCAGGAGUCUGGAACCAGAUUAAUAAGGCCUUCUAGGGACCUCAUUUUAGUGCAGCGAGAAAGCUUGGUGGGAUCUAAGAAAGAGCAGAAGGAAGAGUGGAAGGAAGGAAAACAGGAUUUUUAAUAUAAAAAUUAUUUUGCUGCAAAUCUUUUAGGUGUACCCACACCAUACCUUGCUAUUUUCACCCUCCCCCAGCCUCCAGGGCCCAGGUCUUAAACAGACUGUAGAAACAACGAAUAGGGUGCUUCUAUCCCCUUCAACUCCUUGGCUUUGAUUUCCAGAAGUCACUCAUGGAAUCGCCAAGCAAAGCAAACACUAUGAAGCAUUUAUGUAUUGGAACGAUAGUUCAGAUCUAUCACGCUAUUGCCUUAUUCUUACCUUUAUGCCAAUUUCAAGAUAGCACAUAAAGUAUUCCAGAUCUUUGUAGAAGUUCCCAGAAUAUUUUAUUAUUCACAAAGUAUUUUAUAGCAACAACUGAUUAAGAACACCCUUAGACAAUCUUGGGGCUUUUUCUUUGAGUUUAUCCACUUUUUUUUUUUAAGUUGAGCUUAAAUUUGUUUUAAAAGUGCAGAGAGAUUAAAUAUCUUUGAAGUAGGUUUUUAUUUCACAGGUCCUAGAAUCUGGUGAAAUGGUAGUUGCUGGGUUUCAUUUGAAGGAGUAAUUAAGGUACGUGAUAUUGUUUAACUGUUUGUUCAACUUUGCCUAGUGCAGUGAAGUACAAAUAUUUGACCUUCUUGACAAAGACAGAUGGAUUGAAGCUACACACCAUGAUAUCAUUAGGUUGUCGAAAUAACAUCAUUAUUCAUGAUUAUAAGGAAUUAUUCAGGUGAAAUAGCAAACCUAAUAGAAGGCUAUUUUUUGUGUUGGGAGUAUAAUUUCACUGUCCUUGUCAUUCCAAGCCCUUAGUUGAAUUGAAGAUAAAAUAUAUGUAUUUGUUUUCCUGCAAAGAAUCAUUAGUAGCAUAAACAAGUAAAAUUAAUUAUAAUUAGUAAUUUAGUAAAUCAGAGGUAUAACAUACUUCCUGAAAGAAGUUGGUAUGCUAUAAAUGUAAAAAUGAAUGUUUUCAUCAUUUAUUGAGUUGUUUCAUUUCUAUAAAUUCAUUUUUAGUAGUACAGAAUUUUUACACUGAUUAAAACAUACAUGAAACUUCGCUUUGAAAGAUCAAAGGAAAUGCCUUACAUUUAAAAUAGUAUUUAAAGUGGUAGCCUCUCUUGGUGUUGGCAAAACUAUGGCCUGGAGCCAAAUCUAGCCCCCUGCCUGUUUCUUUAACUAAAGGUUUAUUGGAACACAGCCACAUUUGUUCCUUUGUGUAUCAUCUAUGGCUGUUUUUGUGUUACAGUGAUACAGAUGAAUAGCUGUGACAGAGACCAUCUGGCCUGUAAAGCCCAAAAUUUUUACUAUCUGGCCCUUUACAGAAAAAGUUUGCCAAACUCUACAUUAAGGAACUAAGUGAAAAAAUAAAAUUAUGCACUGGUCGAUCUCAAAGCAGUUCGUAGGAACUACCGAAACCCAUAAGGUUGGGAGAAAUGAAUCAGAUGCCAUGUGCUUAAGGAAGCCUGAUGGGGUGUGUGGUGUAAGCCCACUGUUCUAGAUCAUCAGCUUCCUCAGAGAAUUGACUGAAAUUCUUGUGAUGUGCUGUAUAACCAGCAAAGGACAGACUUAGCUUUCUCUGGGCUGGUUUUAGAAUGUUCUUGCCUGAAACUGUAAUGAUGAAAUGAUCCUGUGAUGAUGGAUAAAUCCUGGGUUCUUCCACAGUCUUCCUUUUAUAGCUCUGUGUAGAACAAACACUGAAAAAAGUGUAAAUACAUUUGAUCAUGAGUGUGAGAAUAUUGUGUUUCCAAAGAUAUAUUUCUAGAAAUAUGCUAAUAAAAGAAUUACGUAACUUUCAUCAGAUUUAGAAAUUAACUGUGGUGUUUGUAGAAUGAUUUUUAAAUCUUUGAAGUUAUAAAGAGGUAUUUCAAAUAUAAAAAGUAGAAAGAAUGACGUUGCAGGCAUCUUAAAAUUUUAAAAUAUUUUUCAUAUAUGCUUCAGAUCUUUUCUUAAAAUGAAAAGUUACAGGUACACUUCACCUUCCCCAACUGUGAUCUUAUUCUUCCUGUUUUUAGAGUCACCUUUCUCAACCUUGGCACCAUUGCCGCUUUGGACCAGAUAACUGCUUUCUUAUGGGGGCUGUCCUGUGAACUCUAGGAUGUUUACCAGCAACUCUGCCUGUACCCACCAGAUACAAUACCAUGCCCCUGUCCAGUUGUGAUAAUGAAGAAUGUGUCCCAUAUAGCCGUAUGUGGGAGGCAGAGUCACCCCCUUUUGAUAACUACUGCUUUAGAGCUAUUGCUCUGAGAAUAUCCCCAACCCUGCUGUCAUAGGCCCUCCAUGAUGGCUCCCAGAUCUUCCAAGCAAUCACAGAAUUAAUGUCUACAGCCUCAAGACCCUGCUCAGUAACAGUGUCAGCUUUCAGGUACCCUACCCUUUAUUGAACAUUGCUUCUGAACAGUCCUGCAGUUAAUAUUGGUUGAAUAACUAUAGGGUUACUUGGAAUCAGAUACAAGAGAAGAGUAUCUUUAAACCUGGUUAAGAUGUUUUCUGAACAGCAGAAUCAAAGGUAAACACCAAAUCACAGCAUACAUGAGCCAGGCCCACAAUAAUGCUAUGGUGCCUAGAACACACCGGUAACAUAACAGAGACUCAGUAAACAUGCUGAUGGAGUGAGCAUCUCAAAUAUAAUCUUUUAGCUUAAUCACAGGAAUCAGGCCAUUGUUCAGCAGGUCCCUGCUGCUGUGGUUUCCUCAUCAUUUAACAAAGAUUUAUAUUUAAAUUGAAAGACCAUUGCAUUUCUCUUUAUGUUUUAAGUAGCUGCAGGGGCCUUGUCAGGAUUUUCUUUUUUAGCCUUGCUUCCUUCAUAGAACAUCUGCAUUUGGAUCACAGAAUGUUGGCUUCCCAGAUGGUCUUGUAAUAGCUGAAUAAAAAACCUUUAAUACUUGGCAUUUAUAACAGGUACUUAGGAGAUUCAUCCAAAUUCUGUUUGCUUUGGCUGGAGAAAUAGAUUCUCUUGGUAAUGAACUUGAACUCUGUCGCCUGGUUAUAUCUUUGAGAUAGCAGAAUAGUAUAGACAGAAUUAGGAGGAAAGAUUGCUGUAUAAAUAGUUGAGCAUUAAAGACUUUAUCUCUGACUUGUCAGAGAACGAGCUCAACACAGGACUAUUUUGUAUGAUAAAAUGUGAUGAUGAAGUGUUUUGAAUUUAUGAUAGGCUGAUUUCUCUAUUAGCAACUUGAGAUAGCCAGGCACUGCAGGAAGCUCCAAGCAUCGAGUAAUUGAAAGGCAAGUUCAAGAUAAUGUUCAGCCUGUUGAGGUAUACAUAACUGUACCUAUUAAUUGCUGCACCAAAGAGCUGCAUUUUCUUCAAACCAUCUUGAAAGAAUGUGACUUCGGAGAUAAGCCUUCCAGGUGUCCUAGAGCAGAACUUAGAAGUCUCUCAAUUGUUGCUUUCAUGGGUGGAUCCCCUUCUUGGAUACUGUUUCCACAUUUGAUGUUUCUGACUCUGAGCAGUAAUUACACUUAAAAAGAAUGAUAAUUGUGCAACCGCAGGAGCCAGCCUGAGUCAGUUUCUCAUUCUACCUUAAGGAGCUCCGGAGACCUCCUCAGUGUGUUCUUGCUUAUGCCUUUAUUCAUGAGGCUCUUACAUUUGUGCCCACAUGCUGGGUACAGAGACAGCAAUGGGAGUGUAGAGCGGCACUUUGACUUGCCUAGUGAAGUCUCUUACUCAGUCCCUUACUAGCCAGGAGCUUGUGAUCAAGUCACCAAACCUUUCUGUAGAUUGUUAUGAGGAUUCGAUUAAAGAAAAACCAAAAGAGAUCAGUCAACAGUCUGACAUGCAAAGUCCUUAGCAAAUAUUAGUUCUUAUUUAUCCUACACCUUGUGUUUAUAGCAAGCCAAUCUGCUUGUGAUGGGUUACUUAAUUAGAAAUCAUUUGACAGUAUCUAAACAGUCACUCCCAAAGUUGCUGAAAAAUUGACAAUUUGUAGUUGCAUUUUGUAAUGGCUCUCUUAGAAAGACCAAUAGGGCAGUGGUUUUAAUUGAAGCACAGUUAAACUGACUUUGUUGUGAGAAAUUUUAGUAGUUUAGGUUAUUGGCGAUACUAAUAAUUUUUGAAAAAUUAGCUGUGGAUCUAAGAUACCCAGGAGACAAUUGGCAAUUUGAACACUUGCUUGAUAGUUAAUACUGUUAUUUUGUGUCAUUGUUAAUUUUUAGGUUUUUAAGAUAUAUAAUAGUUAAUGUUUUAGGUAUGCUUUAAAAGGCAGAGUUUUUUUAGUCCUUGUUUUUAGAGAGAGAGAGAUAGAAAUUCAUAAGCUGUAACUAUAGGAUGUCUCUUACAUGCUUCCAAAUGAUAUAGGAUGGGGGAGUGUAUAAGACUAGUUGAAACAUGACUGGACAUGAAUUGAUCAUUUUUGCAAGGCAGGUACAAAAGGAUACAUGUUACCCACCCAUUUCUGAAUGUGCUUGAAAUUCUCCAUAAUAAAAGUUAAAAAGCAAAAUAGGUUAGGGACCUUGAAACCCCGUCGUUAUUACUAGUUAUGGGUGAUGUAUUUAUCAUGAGCUCCGUAGCAGGUAUAACUAGGUUACCAUGGCUGAGUUCAUGGAUAUAUUAGCUGUUGGCUAAUAGGACUAGAAUGUAUCUACAGAUGAGAGAAGGGUUCCUGUCUGUUAUUGCAAGUUGACCCAAAAUACAUGAUUAAAUUCAUUGGAAGAUUAAAUAUGCAUUAUAACACAUCUUUUUGAUAAGGAGAAGUGUUUUGCCUUUGUUUAUCAAAAGCACAUCUUUGAAGCAUAAAAGGGCUUAUAUUUGAAGCUAUUAAGAUUUACUAGCAUCUGGAAUAUUACCUUUAAUAAUUAAUGGAGGAGACAUCAGAGCCGCCCUUCUCUGACCUAUAGAUCUUUAGCUAUCGGUGAAAGAACUGAUAAUAUGCAAUGCUUUCUUUGCCUAACCUGUCAGGCCCCUUUGGAGGUAUCCUAAAUUUGCUGAUGGAUCCUAAACUGACUGAUUAAUGUUUGAUGUUAGGAGCUUCGGGGAAUUGUUCAAGGGAUAAUGGUUGUUUGUAGUUCACAGGAAAUAAAGACUUUUUAUGAUCAGUUCAGCUCUCUUUGUGACUCUCUAUUUUAUGACUGAAUAAUGCUUUUGUAAAAAAAAAAAUGAAGUACAUCUGACAUAUGACCUCAUCUUUCUUGUCCUCUAAUUAAAAAACAAACACAAAAUUUCCUAUAAUUCUAGCCCUGAAUUACCUGUUUUCUAUUCUUGUUUAUAUAUGCUCUCAUUUUAAGUGUUGUUUAAAUAUUUACUAUUUAAACAAUGAAGAAAUAAUAUACUUUUCAGUUCCUAUUAGAGUGGGCAGCAUAUAUUAGUUAGUGGAAAUAGGCACUGUGAGGAGGCUCUUCUAAAGCAGGUGUGCAGAAGUGUCUCCUAUAAUGUGCCACUUCAUGUUGAUCAAUAUAAUCUUAGACAAAUGACUGAUGAUAGGGAAACUGUUCUUUGAAAUAACUGUACUUUUGACUCAGAAAUAGGCUUUUCGUUUAUUUUUUUCUGUGAUCUCACUGCAAUUAGUAAUUAGUAAUCAUAGGUUGGGGUCUAUAUAUGAAAACAUGAAUGAUCUCUGGAUCCCUCAUUAUUCAAGGAAUUUCAAGGUGUUUGAUUCUAGAGAGUUGUCCAUUUUUUAAAAAUAUUAAUUUACAUUACGCAAUACGUGUACAGAACAUGCAGGUUUGUUACAUAGGUAUAUGUGUGACAUGGUGAUUUGCUGUACCUAUUGGCCUGUCCUCUAAGUUCCCUCCCCUUCCCCCCACUUUCCUCUUUUUCCCCUCACUUCCCAACAGGCUCUGGUGUAUGUUCCUCUCCCUGUGUCCAUGUGUUCUCAUUGUUCAAUUCCCACUUAUGACUGCAGCAUUUGGUUUUCUGUUCCUGUGUUAGUUUGCUGAGGAUGACGGCUUCUAGCUUCAUUUAUGUCCCUGCAAAGGACAUGAUCUUACUUCUUUUUAUGGCUGCAUAGUAUUCCAUGGUGUAUAUGUACCACAUUUUCAGUCUAUCAUUGAUCGACAUUUGGCUUGGUUCCAAGUCUUUGCUAUUGUAAAUAGUGCUGCAUUAAACAUAUUUGUGCAUGUGUCUUUAUAGCAAAAUGAUUUAUAUUCCUUUGGGUAUAUACACAGUAAUGGGAUUGCUGGGUAAAAUGGUAUUUCUGGUUUUAGAUUCUUGAGGAAUCACCAUACUGUCUUCCAUAAUGGUUGAACUAAUUUACAUUCCUGCCAACAGUGUAAAAGCAUUCCUAAACAAAACAGCUUCACCAGCAUCUAUUGUUUCUUGACUUUUUAAUACUUGCCAUUCUGACUGGUGUGAGACAUCUCAUUGUGGUUUUGAUUUGCAUUUCUCUAAUAAUCAGUGAUGUUGAGCUUUUUUCCAUAAGUCUGUUGGUCAUGUAAAUGUCUUCAUUUGAGAAGUGUCUGUUCAUAUCCUCUGCCCACUUUUUGAUGGGGUUGUUUCUCAUAAAUUUGUUUAAGUUCCUUGUCAAUUCUGGAUAUUAGACCUUCGCCAAAUGGAUAGAUUGCAAAAUUUUCUCCCAUGCUGUGGAUUGCCUAUUCACUCUGAUGAUAGUUUCUUUUGCUGUGCAGAAGCUCUUUAGUUUAGUUAGAUCCCAUUUGUUAAUUUUGACUUUUGUUGCAAUUGCUUUUGGUCUUUUCAUCAUGAAGACUUUGCCCAUACCUAUGUCCUGAAUGGUGUUGCCUAGGUUUUCUUCUAGGGUUUUUAUGGUUUUGAGUUUUACAUCUAAGUCUAUAAUCUAUCUUGAGUUACUUUUUUGUAUAAGGUAUAAGGAAGGAGUCCAGUUUCGGUUUUCUUCAUAUGGUUAUCCAGUUUUCCCAGCACCAUUUAUUGAGUAAAAAAUACUUUCCCCAUUGCUUGUUUUUGUCAGGUUUGUCAAAGAUCAGAUGGUUAUAGAUGCAUGAUGUUAUUUCUCAGACCUCUGUUCUGUUCUCUUGGUCUGUGUAUCUGUUUUGGUACCGGUACUAUGCUGUUUUGGUUACUGUAGCCAUUUAGUGUAGUUUGAAGUCAAGUAGCCUGAUUCUUCUAGCUUUGUUGUUUUUGCUUAGGAUUGUUUUGGCUAUACGUGGCCUUCAAAGAUACCAUAUGAAAUUUAAGGUAGUGUUUUCUAAUUUUGGAGGAACAGCAAUCGUAGUUUGAUGGAAAUAACAAUUCAAUCUGUAAAUUACUUUGGCCAAUAUGGCCAUUUUGAUAUUGAUUCUUCCUACCCAUGAGGAAGAAUCGGUAUCUUUUCCAUUUGCUUGUUUCCUCUCUUAUUUCCUUGAGUAGUGGUUUGUAGAUCUCCUUGAAGAGGUCCUUUACAUCCCUUGUUAGCUGUAUUCCUAGGUGUUUUAUUCUCUUUGUAGCAAUUUUGAAUGGGAGUUCACUCACGAUUUGUCUCUCUGCUUGUCUGUUGUUGGUGUAAAGGAAUGCUUGUGGGUUUUGUGCAUUGAUUUUGUAUCGUGAGACUGCUGAAAUUUUUAUUUUAAAUAUAAAAUCAUGUCGUCUUUAAAUAGAGACAAUUUGACUUUCUCUCUUCCUAUUUGAAUAUACUUUCUUUCUCUUGCCUGAUUGCCCUGGCCAGAACUUUCAAUACUAUGUUGAAUAGGAGUGGUGAGAAAGGGUGUCCUGGUCAUGUACCAGUUUUUAAACAAUGCUUCCAGUUUUUGCCCAUUCAAUAUCAUACCGGCUGUGAGUUUGUCUUAUUUUUGAGAUAUGUUCCAUCAAAGCCUAGUUUAUUGAGAGUUGUUAACAUGGAGCAUUGUUGAACUUUAUCAAAGGCUUUUUCUGCAUCUGUUGAGAUAAUAUCGUGGUUUUUGACUUUGGUUCUGCUUAUGUGACGGAUUACGUUUAUUGAUGUGCAUUUGUUGGACCAGUCUUGAAUUCCAGGGAUGAAGCUGACUUGAUCAUGCUAGAUAUGUUUUUUUCAUGUACCUCUGGAUUCGGUUUGCCAGUAUUUUAUUGAGGAUGUUUGCAUUGAUGUUCAUCAGGGAUAUUGGCCUGCAGUUUUAUUUUUUUCAUUGUGUCUCUUCCUGGUUUUGGUAUCAGGAUGAUGCUGGCUUCAUAAAAUGUGUCAGGGAGGAAUCCCUCCUUUUCAAUUGUCUGGAAUAGUUUCAGAAGGAAUGGUACCAUUUCCUCUUUGUACCUCUGGCAGAAUUUGGCUAAGAAUCCAUGUGGUCCUGGGCUUUUUUUGGUUGGUGGGCUAUUACUGCCUAAAUUUCAGAACUUGUUAUUGGUCUAUUCAAGGAAAUGACUCCUUCCCGAUUUAGUCUUGGGAGAGUGUAUGUGUCCAGGAAUUUAUUCACUUCUUCUAGAUUUUCUAGUUUAUUUGCAUAGAGGUGUAUAUAGUAUUUUCUGACAGUAGUUUGUAUUUCUGUGGUGUCAGUGGUGAUACCCCUGUUACCAUUUUUUAUUGUGUGAUUUGAUUCUUUUCUCUUCUUUGUUAUUCUAGGUAGCUUUCUAUGUAUUUUGUUAAUUUUUUCAAAAAACCAGCUCCUGGAUUCAUUGAUUUUUUUUUUUUUUUGGAGGGUUUUUCAUGUCUCUGUCUCCUUCAGUUCUGCUCUGACCUUAGUUAUUUCUUGUCUUCUGCUAGCUUUUGGAUUUGUUUGCUCUUGCCUCUCUAACUCUUUUAAUUGUGAUAUUAGGGUGUUGAUUUGAGAUAUUUCUAGCUUUCUGAAGUGGGCAUUUAGUACUAUAAAUUUUCCUCUUAAUAGUGCUUUUGUCUCAGAGGUUCUAGUAUGUUGUCUCUUUGUUUUGGUUGGUUUCAAAGAACUACUUGAUUUCUGCCUUAAUUCCAUUAUUUACCCAGGAGUAAUUCAGGAGCAGGUGGUUCAAUUUCCAUGAAAUUGUAUGGUUUUGAAGGAGUUUCUUAAUCCUGAGUUCUAAUUUGAUUGCAGUGUGGUCCUAGAGACUAUUUGUUAUGAUUUCAGUUCUUUUGCAUUAGCUGAGGAGUGUUUUCUUCCAACUAUGUAGUCAAUUUUAGAAUAAGUGCCAGAUGGCACUGAGAAGAAUGUAUGUUCUGUCAAUUUGCAGUGCAGAGUUCUGUAGCUGUCUACUAGGUCCACUUGAUCCAGAGCUGAGUUCAAGUCCUAAAUAUCCUUGUUAAUUUUCUGUCUUGUUGAUCUGUCUAAUAUUGAUGGUAGGGUGCUAAAGUCUCCCACUAUUAUUGUGUGGGAGUCUAAGUCUCUUUGUAGGUCUGGAAGAACUUGUUUUAUGAAUCUGGGUGCUCCUGUAUUGGGUGCAUAUGUACUUAGAAUAGUUAGCUCUUCUUGUUGAAUUGUUUCUUUUACCAUUAUGUAAUACCCAUCUUUGUCUUUUUAGAUCUUUGUUGGUUUAAAGUCUGUUUUGUCAGAGACUAGGCUUGCAAUCUCUGCUUUCUUUUGCUUUCUAUUUGCUGGUAAAUUUUCCUCCAUUUCUUUAUUUUCAGCCUAUGUCUGUCGUUGCCUGUGAGAUGGGUCUCCUGAAUACAGCACAUGGAUGGGUCUUGACUCUUCACUGAUUUGCCAAUCUGUGUCUUUUAAUGGACAGUCAGCCUAUUUACAUUUAAGGUUCAUAUUGUUAUGUGUGAAUUUGAUCCUGUCAUCAUGAUGCUCUCUAGUUAUUUUGCACACUAGUUGAUGCAGUUUCUUCAUAGUGUCAUCGGUCUUUAUAUUUUGGUGUGUUUUUGCAGCAGCUGGUACCUGUUUUUCUCUUCAUUAUUUACUGCUUCUUUCAGCAUCUCUUGGAAGGCAGGCCUGGUGGUAAUAAAAUCCCUCAGCAUUUUCUUAUCUAGAAAGGACUUUAUUCCUCUUUCACUUAUGAAGCUUAGUUUGGCUGGCUAUGAAAUUCUGGGUUGCAAAUUAUUUUCUUUAAGAAUGCUGAAUAUUGGCCCCAGUCUCUUCUGUAGAAUGUAGAAUUUUUGCUGAAAGGUCAACUGUUAGUCUACUGGGCUUCCCUUUGUAGGUGACCUGGCCUUUCUCUCUGGCUGCCCUUAACAUUUUUUGCUUCAUUUCAACCUUGGGGAAUCUGAUGAUUAUGUGUUUGGGGUUGAUCUUCUUGUGGAGUAUGUUAGUGAUGUUCUCUGAAUUUCUUGUCUUGCUAGAUUGGGGAAGUUGUCCUGGAUAACAUCCUGAAAUGUGUUUUCCAGCUUGUUUCCAUUCUCCCUAUCUCUUUCAGAUACUCCAAAGUCCCGUAUUUCUUGGAGGCUUUUUUCAUUCCUUUUUACUCUUUGGGAACCUCCACCUAGAUUUAAGAGGAUGUAUGGAAAUGCCUGGAUGUCUAGGCAGAAGUCUACUGCAGGGGCAGAGACCUCAUGGAAAAUCUCUGCUAGGGCAGGGCAAUGGGGAAAUGUGGGUUUGGAGCCCCCACACAGAGUCUCCACACAGGGUCCACACUGGGGCAUUGCCUAGUGGAGCUGUUAGAAGAGGGCCAUCAUCCUCUAGACCCCAGAAUGGUAGAUCCACCAACAGCUUGCAAUGUGCACCUGGGAAAGCCAAAGACACCCAAUGCCAGCUGUGAAAGCAGCUGUUGGGGGGGGAGUGAGAAGGCUGUACCCUGCAGUGUCACAGGGUUAGAGCUGUCCAAGGCUCUGGGAGCCCACUUCCUGCAUGAGCAUUCCCUAGAUUUGAUCCAUGGACUCAGAGAUCAUUUUGGAGCUUUAAGAUUUGAUGACCACCCCACUGGGUUUCAGGCUUGCAUGGGACCUGUGGCCCCUUGGUUUUGGCCAAUUUCUCCCACUUGGAAAGGGAACAUUUACCCAAUGCCUGUACUCCCAUUGUAUCUUGGAAGUAACUAACUUGUUUUUGAUUUUACAGGUUCCUAGAUGGAAGGGACUUGCUUUCUCUUAGAUGAGACUCCGAACAUGAACUUUUGUGUUAAUGCUAGAAUGAGUUAAGACUUUGUGGGACAGUUGGGAAGGCAUGAUUGCCUUUGGAAAUGUACAAAGACAUGAGAUCUUGGAGUGGCCAGGAGUGGAAUGAUACGGUUUAGCUGUGUCCCCACUCAAAUCUCAUCUUGAAUUGUAGUCCCCAGAUGUCAAGGGAGGGACCUGGUGAGAGGUGAUUGGAUCAUGGGGGCAGUUUCCCCCAUGCUGUUCCCGUGAUAGUGAGGGAAUUCUCAUGAGAUGUGGUUGCUUGAUAAGUGUCUGGACUCUCCCCUGAUGGCUUUCUCUCUCUCUUCUGCCACCGUGGGAAGACACCUUGCUUUCUCUUUGCCUUCUGCCAUGAUUGUAAGUUUCCUGAGGCCUCCCUAGCCAAGCAGAACUGUGAGUUAAUUAAGCUUUUUUUCUUUAUAAAUUACCCAGUCUCUAGUAAUAUCAUUAUUGCAUUGCAAAAAUGGACUCAUAAAGCAUAAACCAGUAUAGUCAUAUGUAUUAUCACUAUCAAGUUUUAUGUACUUUAUAGCAGCAGCCCCUAAUCUUUUUUGGCACCAGGGACUGGUUUUAUGGAAGACAAUUUUUCCACAGACAGGGAUAUAGGGGGUAGACAGUUUUGGAAUGAAACUGUUUUACCUCUGACAAUCAGGCAUUAGUUUGCCACAAGGAACAUGCAACCUAGAUCCCUCAUAUACACAACUCACGACGGGAUUCAUGCUUCUAUGAGUAUCUAAUGCUGACUCUAAUCUGGCAGGAGGUAGAGCUCAGGCAGAAAUGCUCACUCACCUGCUGUGCAGCCCAGUUCCUAACAGGCCACAAAUGGGCACUGAUCUGCAGCCAGGGGGUUGUAGACCCCUGCUGUACAUAAUUGUAUAUGCAAUACUUUUAUAUGAUGGGCAGUACAGUGUUUAUUUACACCAGCAUCACCACAGACACAUAAGUAAUUCCUAUUGCUUAGGAUGUCACUAAGCAAUAGGAAUUUUCCAGUUCAGUUAUAAUCUAAUAGGACCAUCAUCAUAUAUUCAGUCAGUUGACUAAAAUGUCCCUAUGUGGUAUGUAACUGUAUAUAUUUGUGCCCCUUUCUCUCCCUACCACACUACAAGUUUUCAGUGCCUCUUGACCAUUGUAUUUUGGAUCAAUUGGCAUGAUAGUCUUCUCCUAGGACACUCAAAACUUUGUUUCUGAAUAUUUGCAAAUGCUUUUGAGCAUCACUGCAAAAUGCUGUAACUUUGAUGUCAGUUAAGGGACAAAGUCAUAUUUCCUUUCUUCCUUUGAGAAUCAAUAAUGUGGUCAUACUUGCAGAGACAGGCACGUCUGAACCAUGGGCAAGCAGUACAUUAUUUUCAAAUCUCUUUUCUCCCUAAGGCCCCUCAAGUCUAGUCCUCUUUGACAGUUUCAUCAUGAAUGUUCUACAGCGUUGCUGUCCUGAGCAACCUUAGAAAAGUUUCCUGAAAAACAAUAUAAUUAAUACAGUGCCUUUUACUGGAUCCCAUCUGUAAUUCCCAGAGCAACAGUUACAUUCCAUUUCAUUUCAAUACCACACUCUGUUCUAUGUGGCUUGGAUUUGAUAUGUGGUGUGAUUAUGCCCUUUGUGUCAUUGGGAAUUUUGAGUUUGUCUUUUAUGAAUACUUUCUCUGUGCCUUCAACAUACUCUUGUUUCAUGUAUUUGUUCAUUUAUUUGUGCAGAAAUAAAUGGAGCACCUUUUAUGUGUAAAAUGUUUUGCAAGGUAAGUGAAGCAGUAUGCACCAUAGUGGGAGAAAGGGUUCUAUGUAAUGUCUGUAAUAUAAUGCCUGGCACAUAAAUGGUCGUGAUUUUAGUGACAUCCUUAUGCUGCUACUCUUGAAGCUGUCAUCAUCAUCAUCAUCACCACCAUCAUCACCAUGAUCAUUAUUCCUCACAUACUUUUGCCAGAUGCAUUUUAUUAUUCUUUAUGUACAGUGCACUUCCUUUGCUGCAAGAGGCACUAAGAAAUGACAUAAUCAUAGUUAGGUCUGGAGAUGGUAACAGUCUGAUCAAAGCCUACUUUGUUUUCAGUAAAUGAAGUUCAUUCAUAUUUGCUUGAUUCCCUUUCCCCUGAAUUUGUUGGCUAGGAUUAUUCCCUGAUACAUUGACCAGGCUGAGACCCAGAUUAGUUAACCAAUGGUUUUGAAGGGCCCUGGCUCUGCAGUCAACACUGCCUGGGGUCAGUUCCAGGCUCCCAAUCUUGGUAACUGUGUGAACCUGAUUUCCUCUGUCUCAUUUCUUCAUCUGUAAGUAGGACGCAUAAGGCUACUACUGAUUGUUGGAAGAAUUAAGUUUGGUAGUGAAACAAGCAGCUCAUCCAGUGCCCGGCACUUCACGAGCAAUGAGUAUGUCAAUGCUGUAGUUUUUAUUUUUGCUCUAAUUGUUGUUAUUACUAUUUUUUUUUUAUUUCCAUGCUUCUGUCUGAUGUGCACUUUCUCCUUCCUGGGGUGAGCAAGCAGAACUCCAGGUAGACCAAGAUAGUUCACCUGUCAUUUAUAGCAUGCACCAGGGUGGAAGAGCAUUGCUCCCUAUUCUUAUUAGAGAAGUUUGGGUAAAAUCAUUAUAGGUUCUGGAUUGAUGACUGCAUCAAACUCUGAGCUCUCUGCCCUCCAAGAUAAAAAUACUUACUGUGAUCUCGUCUUGAUUCCUGAGACGUUACAUGCAAGUUUGUGUUCUAUAUAUGUUUACAUCUACACGCCUAUACUGAUUGUUUACGUAUGUAUAUAAAGGUUAAUCUUUUGGCAUGAAAUUCAUCUAUCAGAAAAAUCUGAUUUUUUGCAGUAGAUGUAAAAUACAAACAUUUAUAUGAAACUUUUUAACAAUAGCACUGUUCUCACUGGGCUGUGUGGAGAUCUAUAGAAAUUAUUACAUAGUGUGGUUAGUGUGAUGGCUGGCAAAAUGGUACACAUUUAGUGUGUAUAAGCUAAUAAUAAGGAUAUCAGAGAAGAUUUAAUAGAAAACCCAACACAAGAAAUCCAAAGACAAGCCUUAGCACUCAAAUCCAAUCUCUGCAUCAAUCUCAAAAGAAAAGGAGUAGAUGAGAAAAGGAAAAGAAUGAAAUAUUUUCUCAUUCUCUUAGUAGCCUUCAUUUUGUAUACAAGCCAUUUUCCUGGUUUUUAUUAUAUUCAAGGUUAUGUAUAAAAACAUUCUUACCAGGAAAUCGCAUUAAAAUAAGAACUGGAAAAAAGUCUAUUUAAAAACCCUCAAAUAGUUAAAAUUGUGUCUCCUGCCCCAACCAUUGGUUAAUUACAGACUUUCUUUUAAUUCACUGUUAAAAUAUUGCUCAUUUUUUAUGAGAAAAUAAGGUGAUUGUUUAAAUGUGAUAUUAUAAUAAAUUAUUUCCUUAAAAAUAUUGAAUUAUAUUCAGCAUAUACAUGUAAACAAAACUGUAUAUAUACAAACUGUGUGUGUGUGUGUGUGUGUGUGUGUGUGUGUGUGUGUGUGUAUGUAUGUAUAUGUAUAUAUGUGGAGAGAGUUUCUUUGUUUUGUUUAUGGUAGUAUUGAGCUUUACCUGAGCCCAGUGUUUUGGAAAAUAGUACUAGCUGUAGAAAUCUCCCACUGUUUGUCUUCUGGAAAAGGCUUGUAAAAAAAAAAAAUCCGUCCCCAUGUGUCUUGGGUAAGACUAACUGAUGCCCUUUUAAGUACCUCUCACAAGGCCAGAAGCUGACUUUCCACAUUCCCAUUCUGCGCCUUAUAAAUCAGUGGAACUAUUGAUAAUCACUGCCCAAAUAAUGGACCAAACUUUAGUCAGGCAUCUCUCCCUCCCUAGUCCCUUAAACUUUGGCCAUGCCUUGAACAUUGGCAUGCAGAACAACCUCUCCUCGAAGACUCCUCCUGAGAACCAGCUGACCUUGGGGAGGAGCUUUCCCUAGUCAGUGCUCCCACCUCCUCUUUCUAGCCUUGCUUACCCCUCCCUAUCAAAGAAUAGUCCUUUGUGCCCAACCUUCGAGCCUCUUGCACAUCUCAUGACAAGAGCUCUCCCCAUUGCAGUAGUUUCACUCCCCUUACAGCAAUUACUUUUUCAGAUAAAGGUUCUCUUCUGUCGGGAUUUGGUUUUAACUUGAUGUUUGCAUUUUCCCUCUGUGGCCUAUACCUAGUUUGAGUGUUUAAGGCAUCUUCGUACUAACAGUAAUAGGAACUCCUUGUGUUCCAGUCUCUCUAUAUAGUACUUUUGACACAUUAGUUCUAUUUUUCUGUCUAGUACCAGGGAAAUAUUUUUAUUUAUAUUACUCAGGGACACUGAGGCUCAGGUAUGUUAAGUAACUUUGCAAAUGGUGCAUAUUUCCUCAAUGAGAGAUGUAGGCUUGGAGGACUGCUGUGACUGACUUGACUGCCAUCAGUUUUCCCACUGUCUCACUUGUAUUAACUCCUUGGGGUCAUAGUUACUACCAAAAUGAGUAAUGGUGAUGACAGCUCCACCAUUUUGGGAAUUGUAUGCCAGUUCUUGUGCUAGGUUUUUUUUGUGUGUGUUAUUUCCCACAUAAUACAACAACCUUUGUGGCAUGCUUGUAUAGGGGAAUCUGGGCAUGAGUGGAAACAACCUUUGUGGCAUGCUUGUGUAGGGGAAUCUGGGCAUGAGUGGAAAAGAUAUAUUGCAGCCGAAGGGGCCUGGAAGGAGACUGUCAAUAAACUGUGUUAUAUACCUGCAUUCUGAUUGUGACCCAUCACAUGAGGGCAGGUGUGGAAUUUCCCACUUGUGGUGUCAGGACAGUGCUCGAAAAGUCAGAUUUGGGAGCAUUUCAGAUAUUGGGUAUUUGGAGUAGGGUUGCUUGACCUGUAUUUACAUGAAAGGAACAUGAGAUUUGAGCAGGUUGGCUGAUUGGGCCCAGGCCCAUGACAUUGACAAGUAUCGAAAUGAUGACAAAACUCAUACCCUUCACCUUUUGAUUUUCUACAAACUACCUGGGUUCCUGGGUUGUAGCCCCUCCAGUGUCUACAUCACCUGCUGCAGUUUUAAGCACCCAAGUGCGCCUCCAAUUCAUCAAUCCUUGUUUGCUUUGCCAGGAUGAGUUUCUCUAAUGAUGGAGCUUUGGUUUCAAAGUAGUAAUCACAGUAUUCAGUCUAUUUUCUAUUUAUGUUGAGAUUAAUGUUUGUCACUUACCUAAAAUAAAUGAUUGAAUAAAGAAAGGAUGUUUUUCAAACCUGUGGCAUGCAUCAGUUUAGCCAAGGAGAAAGACAUUUAAGUUGCUGAGUUACUUAACUUCCCUAACCUUUACUUUGUCUCUUUAUCUGUACAAUGGACAUCUCAGGAUACCCACUUUCUAGAAAUGCAGUGAAGAUUAGAGAGGUGAACAGAGAGUCUCUGGCCCAGUGCCUGGCACACAGUAAAACACUUCAACAGAUGUGACAACAAGGAGUAGUAAUUUUUAUAGUAGUUUUUCAUUUUCCCCCAAGCUAUCUGUUUAUAUCAAAGGAGUAUUGUGUGUAUUUCUGACAUGAGCAAAGUUCUAAAGUAAGUAAUGGCAGGAAACUCCACCUGGCUCAUUGUAUUAAUCAGUCAGUUGUGUUUACGAUUUAAGUAGUGCUAUUUAAAAAUUAGAAUUGUAUUGUGUUGAAAAUAAUACAUUUGUGGAAAUGAUCCUCCUAACUUCUGUUUUGAAAAUGUAGUUAAUGUUUUCAUGCCUAAUCAUUAAUACAUUGUAAAACUGCAGUAUAAAAAUGAAUAUUGUAGAAUUUCUAGAACACUCCAAAACUACUCAUCAGUUUAGCUCUAUAAAAUUGAACUCUAAACAUGACUGGUGUUUUUAUUAUAUAUGAGUGUGACAGAAGCCCUUUGGGGCUUCUUCCAUUCUCUAUUGCUAUAUUCUGUUGAUUUAAGAUUCUGAGGCUUAUUUUUUCAUUAAUUCUGAAUUUUUCAAGUUAAUGUAAUAUGAACACACGUUCCUUUUCCCAUGGAUGGAAAAAUGAGCUUAAUGAGGAAAAUUAUUUAGGCUUGCUGUACCAGAAGGAACUCCAGCCUUUGGUGCUGCUGCAGUCAGGGUUGACCCUUCCUGCCCUCUGUCUGCCUCAUCUCCUUCAUCUCCCUUGAUUGCUGGAUAAGCAGACACAGUCCCUGUCCUGAUUGUGUCACUGCUGGUAUUAGGACGAAAAAUGCAUCAGAAUUUAUGAAGAUGUGUUUUUUCUAGUUCUGAGUAUAAGGUUCUUUAAAUUUCUCCAAAAUCAUGUGUCUCCCCCUCAGACAUCUCCAGGUAUUUGGAGUAGGGUUGCUUAGCCUGUAUUUACAUGAAAGAAAUAUGAGGUUUGAGCAGGUCGGCUGAUUGGCCCAGGCCCAUGAUGUUGGCAAGUAUCAAAUCUCAGACCCUUCACCUUGUGAUUUUCUAUAAACUACCUGGGUUCCUGGAUGUUAUCUACAGUUCUCUGUGAGGUUAGGUCUUCACGUGCAAGUACCUCAAAUCAGUAUUUCCAAAAGAAAAUUCUUUGCCACCAAAGCACCAUCUUUGCAGUUAGUUCUAUUGGUAAUGUCCUUUUCAUUGCAACGUAUUAUAAGCCUGGCAAUAUUUUUCUCCCUUCUCCCAGGUUGUCUCUUCAGAUUGUAUUCAUUCUCUCUUAAUAAUGCCUCUCACAUUCCCCUCUCUAUUUCCACAUACCCAUCUCAAAUUCAGAUUGUCCCUCUCACUUGAAAUAUUUUUAAUAGGUUCUUAAUUGAUUUCCAUACCUCCAGCUCCCCUCAGCCCUUUAGUUAAUCUUGGAACAGUGCUCAUGCAAAUUAAGUGCUUUAAUUACUCUCUGAUUUGAAUUGAAUUUUAUCAAAGAAACCAGCUAUCUGUGGGCAUGGAGUGUUCGGUUUUGGUUCAUAUCUUGAGAGCAGAGAAGGACCACUUUCAAGUGCAUGUAGCUAUUUGUCAAGUUUUCUUUGCAUCAUUUACUGUAAAUCACUUUUGUUUGUAAUCAACAUAAUAGCUUUUCCUUUUUCAAACUUUGUAAAGGAAAGGAUCAACUCUGGGACAUGCAUCUCAUUGGUUUUAAAAGUUCUCAGUCUUUGGAAAAUGAAUAUAAUAAGAAGCAUUUCUAUAAUACAACACUAAAGGAGAUAAAUGUCAGGUUGUCAGAAAACUUACAUGAAUAAUGGUAUUUGAGGCAUUUGUUUUCUUGCAAAUUGAGUUAUAAUUACUGCUAUUUAAAUUCACCACCCCCACCUCUACUUGGCUUGCUUAGAUGUCUUUGGGAUUGGGGACUUUGGGACACACAAAUCAUUUUUCUCUCCUGUCAGAAGUUCUUUAAGGAUUAAGAACAAUUUUUAUUUUCCCUAUGAGAAAACAAAGCAUGUAAAGUUGAAAGGCAGCACACACUAGCACUGCUUUUAAAACAAUAUUGUACAAUUCUUUGCAAAAUGAAGGUGGGCAUGUAGUUUGAAGAUGUACCAAACCUUUGUAAUACGAAAAAGUGAGCAUACAAUUUGAAGAAAUAAAUGGACCUAAAGAUAAACCAGUUGUUUUUUGCCUCAUUGAAAUGCUUUUUCCUAAAACAUGUAUCUUUUCUCUUAUUGUUGCUCUUUGAAAAAAAAAAAAAAAAAGGGGGGCUACAAGUGCAGUUACGUUACAUGGAUAUAUUGCAUAGUGGUGAUGUCUGGGCUUUAAGUGUACCCAUCACUUGAAUAGUGAACGUUGUAUCCAAUCGGUAGUAUUUCAUCCCUCACCCUCUAAAUUGGUUUAAAAGAUAAAAACCGACUAUGUAAUUGUAGCAUGCAAUUAGGUUAGUAAGUUGGUAAAAAUAUGGUCAUUCAUGUCAGACUAAUCCCUUUAUUUGAAAUAUGACUCUGUUCAUCUUACAAUUCAAUAUUGGAAGAUUCCAUGGCCAGGCUUAGCCUGGAGGUUUCUUAUUCAUUUCAAGAAUGCAAGCCCGUGGGCAGGAGGGGAGGGACAAGGCAGAGCAAGAUGGCCAAAUAGAAGCCUCCAGUGGUUGUUCCCCCUGCAGAAACCCAAUUUGAACAACUGUGCACACAAAAAAGCACCUUCAUAAGAAAGAAAGAUCAGAUGGAUGAUCACAGUACCUGGGUUGAACAUCAUAUUAAGGAAAGAGGCACUGAGGAGGGUAGAAAAGACAGUCUUGAACUGUUGAUGCCACCACUCCCCCAUGCUCCUGCAGAGGCCAUGAGGCAUGGAGAAAGAAUCUUUGUGCUUGGGGGAAGGAAAGCGCAGUGACUAUGGGACUUUGCAUUGUAACUCUGUAUUGCCCUGUUGCAGCAGAAAUCAACACCAGGAAGAACUCAGCAGGUACCCAAGGAGGGAGCAUUUAGACUAGCCCUAGCCAGAGGCAAAUUGUCCAUGCCAGUGGUCAGAUCCUGAGUUCCAACAAACUCCACCACCACAGGCUAAAGUGCUCUGGAGUUCUACAUAAACUUGAAAGGUGGUCUAGGCCCCAAGAACUGCAAGGAAAGUCCUUGUGCUGUGCUGGGCUUGAAGCCAGUGGACCUGGGGUGUGACUGGCCUAAUGAGAUACCAGCUGGCCAGGGGAGUGCUUGUGAUGCUCCCCAUCCACUUGGCAACACAGCUCACAGCUCCAGGAGAGACUCCUUCCCUUUGCUUCAGAAGAGGAAAGGAGAGAGUAAAGAGGAUUCUGUUUUGCAACUUGGAUACUAGCUCAGCCACAGUAGCAUAGGGCAACAGGCAGAGUCCUGAGGCCUCUAUUCUGGGCCUUGACUUCCAGACAACAGUUCUAAACAUACCCUGAGCUGGAAGAGAACCUGCUGCCUUGAAAGGGGGACUCAGUUCUUGUAGAAUUCAUCGCCUGCUGAUGAAAGGGUACUCAGACGCUGAAUAAUCAGCAGUGAUAGCAAUACUUGCUGCGGGUCUUGAGUGAGACUCAGAGCCCUGCUGGCUUUGGAUGUGACCCAGCACAGUCCCAGCUUUGGUGGCUACAGGAAGAGACAUGCACAACUUAUCUGGAUAGAACCACUAAGAAAUUCAAAACCUGAACAGACCAAUGACAAGUAAUGAGAUCAACACCAUAAUAAAGUUGCUCAGCAAAGAAGAGCCAUGAACUUUGAUGGUUUAACUGCUGAAUUUUAGUAAAUGCCUAAAGAACCAGGAAUACCAAUCCUACUCAAACUAUUCCAUAAAACAGAGGAGGAGGGAAUAUUUCCAGGCUCAUUUUAGGAGGCUAGUAUCACCCUGACAUGAAAACCAAAGACACAUUAAAAAAAUAAUAAAGUGAAACACUGCAGGCAAUUAACCCUGAUGAACAUUGAUGCAAAAAUCCUCAACAAAAUACUAACAAAUUGAAUUCAGUAUCACAUUAAAAAGAGUAUUCAGCAUGACCAAGUGGGAUUUAUUCCAAGUAUGCAAGGAUAGUUCCACAUAUGCAAAUUAAUCAAUGUAAUAUAUCAUGUGAACACAAUGAAGGACAAAAGCCAUAUGCUUGUUUCCAUUGAUACUGAAAAAUAUUUUAUAAAAUUCAUCCUUUGAUGAUUGAAAACCCACAGAAAGUGAGUAUACAAGGAACAUACCUCAACACAAUAAAAGCCAUAUAUGAUAGACCCACAGCUAAUAUCAUACUGAAUGGGGAAAAACCUGAAAAGUUUUCUCCCUACAAUCUGAAGUGAGACAAACACGCUCACUUUCACCACUGUUAUUCAACAUAGUACUGGAAGUCAUAGCUAGAGCAAUCAGAUAAGAAAAAGAUAAAAAGGUAUCCAAAUUGAAUGUCCAAUUAUCCUUGUUUGCAGAUGAUAUGAUCUUGUAUUUGGAAAAUUCUAAAGAUUCCACCAAAAACCUAUUAGAAUUGAUAAACAUUCAGUAAAGUUGCAAGAUACAAAAUCAACAUAAAAAAUCAGUAGCAUUUUUAUAUGCCAACAGCGGACAAUCUGAAAAAUAAUUCAAGAAAGUAAUUCCAUAAUCAAGUACCUAGGAAUAAACUUAACCAAACAAGUGAAAGAUGUCUACAGUGAAAUCUAUAAAACACUGAUGCAAGAAAUAGAAUAGGACAGACAAAAAAAUGGAAAGAUAUUCCAUGUUCAUGGUUUGGAAGAAUUAAUAAUGUUAAGAUGUUCAUACUACCCAAAGCAAUCUUCAGAUUCAAUGCAAUCCAUAUAGAAAUACCAAUGACAUUCUUCACAGAAAUAGAAAAAAUAAUCUUAACAUUGACAUGACACCACGAAAGACCCAGAAUAGCUAAAGCUAUCCUGAGCAAAAAGAACUGAAGGAAUCACAUUUUCUGACUUCAAAUUAUUCUGCAGAGCUAUAGUAAUCAAAACAGCAUGGUGCUGGCACAAAAGCAGACCCACAUAGACCAAUGGAAUAGAAUAGAGGACCCAGAAAUAAAUCCAUACAUCUGCAGUUAACUCAUUUUUGACAAAGGUGCCAAGAACAUACAUUGAGGAAAACACAAUCUCUUCAGUAAGUGGUACUGGGAAAACUGAAUAUCCAUAUGCAGAAGAAUAAAACUACACCCCUAUCUCUUGAUAUAUAUCAAAAUUCAAGCUAUCAAACUUCUACAAGAAGACACUGGGGGAACUCUCCAGGACAUUGGUCUUGGCAAAGAUUUCUUGAGUAAUACCCCACAAGCACAGGUAACCAAAGCAAAAAUGGACAGAUGGGAUACCUUGAAGUUAAAAACCUUCUACAUAGCAAAGUAAACAGCAAUUUGAAGAGACAAGCCACAGAAUGGGAAAAAAUGUUUGCAAAUUAUCCAUCUGACAAGGAGUUAAUAAGCAAAAUAUAUAAGGAGCUCAAUUUCAUAGGAAAAAAAUCUGAUUAAAAAAUGAGCAGAGAUCUAUAUAGGCAUUUCUCAAAAGACAUACAAAUGGCAAACAGUUACGUGAAAAGGUUCUCAACAUAACUGAUAAUUGGAGAAAUGCAAAUCAAAACCACAGUAAUACAUUAUCUCACCCCAGUUAAAAUGGCUUAUUGAAGAGGAUACAAAAUAUGAAAAGAUACCCCAAAGCUAGGCAGUAACAAGUGCUGGAGAGAAUGCUGAGAAAAGUGAAGUCUCAUACCUUGCUGGUUGGAAUGUAAAUUAGUUCAAACACCAUGGAGGGCAUUUUGUAGGUUCCUCAAAAGACCAAAACUAGAGCUACGAUACGAUCCAGCAAUCCCACUGCUAGGUAUAUACCCAAAAGAAAGGAAAUCAAUGUAUUGAAGAGCUGUCUGUACUCCCAUGUUUAUAGCAGCAUUGUUGACAUUGAACAAGAUUUGGAAGCAACCUAAGUGUUCAUCAACUGAGGAAUGGAUAAGGAAAAUGUGAUACAUAUACAAAUGCAGUACUAUUCAGUAAUAAAAAAGAAUGACAUCUUGUCAUUUGCAAUGAUGUGGAUGGAACUGGAUGUUGUUGUGUUAAGGGAAAUAAGCCAGACACAGAAAGACAAACAUUGCACGUUCUCACUUAUUUGUGGGAGCUAAAAACAAUUAAAGCAAUUGAGCUCAUGGAAAUAGUAGAAGAGUCAUUACCAGAAGCUGGGAAGGGUAACUGGGGAGAGGGAGAUGAUUAAUACAUAAAGAUAAUUGUUACGUGUGAUGAAUAAGAUCUAGUAUUUGAUAGCAUUACAGAGUGACUAUAGUCAACAGUAGUUUGUUGUACAUUUUUAAAUACUGUAAAAAUAUGAUAGGAUUAUGUGUAACACAAAGGAUAAAUGCUUGAGAUGAUGUAUAUCCCAUUUACUCCUAUGUAAUUAUUAUGCAUUGUGUACCUGCAUCAAAAUAUCUUAUACCACCACAAAUGUAUAUAUGUCUUAUGUACCCACAACACUUUUUUUAAAAGAAUACAGGGGAACCUAGAAAGAUCUAGUUCUGUUCUUUGAGUCAAGCCUUUGAGAGACAAGAUCUUUUAGUGAACUCAGUUCUGCCAUAGUGUUGCUUAUUAAGCAGGUAGUUUUACUUGUUUAUGUCUAUUCUUUCACAGGAUUUCAAGGGCCUAUUAGGAUGUGAUGAUGAUUCCAAACUGUGCAAAUAAAGGACAAAUGACAUGUUCUUCCACAAAAGGAGCUUCUGUUAUCCCUCUUUGCCACAGACGUGCUAGAAUGGCCAAAGUGGAUGUUAUUUUCUUAAUGUUAAAAUGAUUUGUGAAUAAUAAUUGGUAACUGCUACCAUUAACCUUUAUUGUGUCAGGCCCUGUGCCAACUAUUUGAUCUUGCUGCAGCAGUGUAAGGUACAUAUUGUGAUUGUCUCCAUUUUACGUGAGUGGACACUGAUACCCAGAGAAGUUAAGUAAAUUGCCAAAGCCAGAGUUUCAAGUGGUCUAGGUUCUUUUGAUUUGAAACCAGGUCUAUUUACUGGGUGACUUCUCUGGGCGUUCUGUAACCUCUUCCAUGGACAGCUUGGCAAGAUCAUCCUUAUUACAGUUCAAAAUGUUACAUGUCCCAUCCCUUUCCCAAUAAAUCAUGGGUUUCCUAAAGAUUGUCUUCCUCUCUUCUGAGAGAGAGAAAUGGAAGGAGGAGAAAGGAUGGAGGGAGACAGGAGUAAUGUGUAUUUCAUCGCUAUCAAUGACAUUUUAGGACCAAUAGGGCCACCUGAAAGGCAACAUCCCACAGAAUUCUGCCCACAGUUAGUGUUUCAGUGGUUAGCAUCAUGUGAUUAAAUCCUUUUAAAUGCAAGUAAAUCCUUAUGAACCAAAAGAAGAAAAAUUACUUUCUCUUCAGGAAAAUAAAUAUAGAUAUGUUAUUUUCCUUAGAUUUGUGAAAUAUUUCUUCAAAAAACCAAACCUGAUUCCCAAGAGAUAAGAAAAACAACUUUUUUCCUUCUCGACAUUCACAUGAAAUAACACCUAAGUAUUUUAAAGUGUGAACAAAUGUCCCAUGGUACUCAAUCGUGUGAUAUAUCUGUCGCCUUCUGCCACCUAUAAUGAAGAAAAGAUUUUGAAGAGAGUAGCAUCAUUUUUCAACUUUUUUAUUCUCGAAGUUCCCCUUCUGUGCUAAAACCCGAAGAGCAAAUGUGUUGCCUCCAGGUGAUGAAUAUUGGGUAGAAAUUAGCAGGAGCCACUGCUCCCUCAUUGUGGCAUGGCACAGAGGUGGUCAGUGCACAGCAGGCUGCAGAGAUAUGACUGGGAAUGUAUGCAGUGAUACAGAGCAGGGUUGGUUUUGUGUCAGUCUGCCUAUUGGGAGGACUGUGCCGUGAUUGUGUGUAAAUGCAGUCAGAAAAGUCUUCUGAACUCACAAGUACUGGCCCAGUGACCUCCCUGUGGCACGCCCUCAGUGUCUCCCCAGCCAUCUUAGCCCGGCCCAGCCUGGUUGGCCCCUUCCUGUCUUUCCUUGCCUCCUGUUCACCACCCUCCUGUGCUGUCUGUCCUGAUGGGCUGAAUUCUAGUCCUCCUGCUCUCCAAGCCCUUUCCCCUGGUGGAUCCCUUGCUUUUGCUUCUGCCUUGAUGCUCUUCCCUCUCUCUUCUCUACCCUGCUUUUAGCUGUCAGCUCCUGUGUUAAUUUCUCAGUGGCAUUGUCCCUGCCUUGGUCAGAUCCUCUAAUUAUAGAUUCUUUUCACACCCCAUGCCUUUCUGUCAAGGCCUUGCCCCAGGUGCAUUUAACAUUUGGGUUCUGAUAGUGUUUGGGAGAAGAGGUAGGGUUGAAUAGUUGAGCCCAGGAUGCUCAAGCCAUACAGCUGGCUUCAAACCAAAUUCUGCCACUUAGCAACCUUGCCAACUCUGUGCCUCCUCUGUAAAGUGGGGGUGACUGUACCUCAUUCUUAGAGGUGUGGUAGAGAGUAAAUGAGUUGAUAUUAGAAUGGCAGCUGAUAUGUAGAAUGGGCUUACUACAUGGUGGCUCUUUUUAAUAUUUGAUUUAAUGAUUGUAUUUAUUAUCGUUAAUAUUUAAUUUAGCGAUUAUCCUUCCUUCCAUUAGAUUGUGAACUCCAGGCAGACAACAUUUAUAACUGUUUUUGUUGCACAGUGUCUCCCUGGUCCUGGUGCAAUACCUUUCCCACUGUAGGCACCCAUGCAGUGUUUAUUUUUACUGUGUGUCAGCACUGAGUUUGGUGAACUGAAGGCUUCAACUUCCAUUUCAACCAGUGGUUCUAUCUGUCAUAGGAUUUACAGAUUUAUAUCAUGUUCUUGACAGAGAUGUUGAUAGUUUUUAAUUGGCAGCCAGGACACUAUAUUUGGCCCUUUGUUCUGGGACUUUUGGUGCAAGGACUUUCUCAGCAAAUGUGGCAUCCUACCCAGAUUCUGACCACCAUGCAAGGAUGAGAUUGUCUUGAAAGUGUGUCCUACUUCUACUAAGCUGAUGACAUUCAGAUUUUUGUCUUUAAGCUGCACACCCCUUUUUAAUCAAUUUCAAACUUAUUUGGAAGCUCAAUGUGUCAAACACAUUCAAAAUAGAGGGGCUUUGCUUAGGAAAGAGCAUGGCUUGUUUGGGAUCCCCCAUCCUUAUCCUGCCUCUGACUACCACUGGAAACCUUUGCCCUAAAUAAUGAUGGUCUGCUUUCUAAGGCUAUUAGGUGAGAAACCAACUUGGAAUGCUUAAUCAGCAAGCAUGGAAGUAACUUGCAGAAGAAAAAAAAAAUUCAACCUUUUAGUAUCAAAUAGGGAAUAAUUUCAAGUGAUGUUGGGGACAGCUGCACUGUUCGUACAUGCUGGAGAGAAGAUCCUGCUACUUACCACACAGCCUAUGAUUUUGAAGGCUACUUUACAGCUGCCACCUUUCAUCUUGAAGAAAACAGAUUUUAAUUAUGACAGUGAGAGCAAGAUUCCAUAUUGUCUUAUUAGUUGCUUAAUUUUAUUUAGCUGACUCAUUUUGUAUGGGAAUGUCUCCAGGGGCUGCUGGAGAGUCUCUGUUUAUAUAAAAGGAGAGAGAUCCCAAGAGGUAUAUUUGUUUAAGAGUGUUGCAUAAUGUAUUCUAGGUCUUGGGUUUGUACCAUUCUCAGAUUAUAAAUGGUAGAAGCGUAUUUUUUUGGUCAAUUUUAUAAUCAAAAGGAGAAUCAUUACUAAGGGUCAUUAUUGAAUAACAUAUUAAUAACUUGAUAAAAUAUUCAGACUUUUUGGACCUUCCAGAAUUCGUUCAAAUAAGGAUUUUAUUUUUCAGUGUGAAGAAAAAAAUUUUAUUAGAUAUCCUAGUGAAAUGGGGAAGAGUAAGUAUUUUUUUCCCCUUAACAUUAAGGGAAUUUUCUUAAAGAAAGUGUUCUGCGCCAGGGUUGUUACAUAUGGUAUUCUCUUUUGUUAUUUUUUAAACUUAAUCUUAAAAUAUAUUUCCUUUAAAUAGAAUCCUAAGUUUGGGAUUGAUGACUAAGGAUACGUUAAAUUUGUAUAUACUUAAGUUAAUUCACUACUUCCAACAUGAAUUAUAUUCUGAACAAGGAAAGAAAAAAUAUUUGGCUGAUAUGGGCCAUCUGGCUUUAAAAUGUAGAGAAUUGUCUUCCAGCCUGCAUCUAUUUUAGAGUGACUAUUGGAUCAGAAUGCCAAUGAAUCCAAAACAGUAGAUUCACAAUUUAAACUUUAAUGCUUGGAGGAUUGUAAAUCACAGCACAUAUGGGAUGAUACAUGUUUUGGGAGAAAUGGAUCCUCCUGACCCAUUUAUAAAAAACUAAAGCUGUCUGUAUUCUCUGUUUAUUGAAUGUAUUUAUUUUACUCAGAAGUAAACAGUAUCUAGGUUUUUAAUCUCAACAUUGGGAUUUUUAAAAACUAAAAAAUUUGUUUUGUUGAAUUAUCCUGCAGGAUAAAUGCUUAGUAAUAUCCCCAAAAGGUUUUUCCAAAGAAGUAAUGGUGGUUCUUGAUAUUUUCUCAUGGUUCAUUUUUUUAAAAAUCAAUAUAAAAGCAAAUUUUUAAAAAAGUCUUACUUCCCUUCAAAGGAAGGUGUGAUUCUAGUGGUUGGGGGUUAGUCCGAAGCCACAGAACUUCUUUCCCUAUAAACCUCUCAUUCUGGCAAGGCAGGACAUUUGGACGAGGAUUUGCUGAAUUAAUACAACCAGAGACUUUCCCUAAUUUUAAUGUUUCCCAAAAUAAGUCCUGAUAAGAUUUGCUCCCUGAAAGGUAGGUGAGGAAAGUUUAAGACAAGUUUGAUAGACAUAUCUGUUGAAGAAAUUUGAUAAUUUCACAUUUUUUGAUACGUUAGUAUGCCAGUCAUGAACUUCUGAAAAGAGGGUUGUGGAGGCGAGAACUCGAAGUAGUUUUCUGAACUAUUUUGACCCUCAGGUAUUUUAUAGGACUUUCGAGUUGCUGACUGUAACAUGAGAGAAGGAAGGACAUCUUGUCUGGUGGGUACAUGCAUGUACCUGCCUUAUAGAAGCUUUUGGGGGUGAUAGACAGUAGAUUUCCUUGCCCAUCUCCCCAACCUCAGUAUAUUUGAACAUUUCUGAAAUUGAGAUGUUGUUUACAAUUAUUCCAUGUGUUUUCUUUUUUUACUUUCAGGAAGGCUAUUAAUGAAUUAAGGAUGCCUUAACAUUAAGUAAGUUAUUAGGUAAUACAGGUUUUUUGUUGUUGUUGUUGUUUUUGUUUGUUUGUUUGAGACGGAGUUUCGCUCUUGUUUCCCAGGCUGGAGUGCAAUGGCGCGAUCUCGGCUCACUGCAACCUCCACCUCCUGGGUUCAGGCAAUUCUCCUGCCUCAGCCACCUGAGUAGCUGGGAUUACAGGCACGCGCCACCAUGCCCAGCUAAUUUUUUGUAUUUUUAGUAGAGACAGGGUUUCACCAUGUUGACCAGGAUGGUCUUGAUCUCUUGACCUUGUGAUCCACCCACCUCGGCCUCCCAAAGUGCUGGGAUUACAGGCGUGAGCCACCACGCCAGCAGUAAUACAGGUUUUAAUUCUAAUUUGUUCAUCAUGCUCAGUCUACUGAUUUUGCAAGAAAAACUGUAUUAAAUGAAAAGAAUGAAUGGAAAAAGACUAUUUUGUGGGCAAUAUCUUUUAUAAUCAGCUUUGUUUUCUAGAAUAUUUGGAAUCUGGUUAAAAAAUAAAAUCAGUCAUGCUUUUUGGCAGCUUACUAUGGUUUCAACCCACUGCUAAGUGCUUUGUACAUGUGUAUUAUGUAUCUAUGGUAGGUACUGUUACCACAUUUUAAAAGUGAGGGCAGUGAAACUCAAAGAGGUCCCAUAAUUUAUCAACCUUAAUAGCUGAUGGAGAAUGAUGUUUCAGUCUCAGGCAGUCUCAUUUCCCCAAACCCACUCUUUGUUUUAGUUAACUGAGCAUUGACAUUUAUUUAUUUUGUGUAUACUUUCUUUAUACCUUUGCAUUAUGGCAUAUACCACAGAUUUCUGGAAAUGGGUUAUUAUUAGAAUCACCUUGGAAGCUUUGGAAAAUUACAAAUUCCUGGCUCAACCCUCAAAAUAGACUUACUCACUAGCUCUGGGAUGCAGCUUGUAUUUUUAAACAUUAAUGUAGAAGCUCCAAGUGAUUUUGAUGAAGCUAGAAUUGGGCAUGACAGUUAACGUAUGAUUAAAAAAUGCUUUUCUUUCCACCAGUAAUAAAAAUGGGUUGGGCACUGUGGCUCAUGCUUGUAAUCCUGGCACUUUGGCAGGACAAGGUGGGAGGAUCACUGAGUCCAGGAGUUUGAGACCAGCCCUGGAAACAUAAUGAGACUCUGUCUCUGCAAAAAAAUAAAACAAAUGAGUCAGCUGUGGUGGUGCACAUCUGUAGUCUCAGUUUGCUUAGGAGGCGAGGGUGGGAGAAUCCCUUGAGCCUGGGAGUUCAAGGCUGCAGUGAGCCACAGUUUAUGCCACUGCACUCCAGCCUGCGUGACAAAGUGAGACCAUGCCUCUAAAAAAGUACAUAGUAGAAUGCACAUAGCCCCCAAACCAUGAAAAACAUAAUUGAAUGAUGUAUGACUCCUGUAUCAGCUUUAGACAUCUAGAGUUGGCAGUCAAGGUGUGUUGAGAAAGCAGAUGGGCAUAAAAACCUAAAGCUGCUGGGUACCUUUGCCUGAAAUGUGUAAGGGUGCUUUCAUGCCUCGAUCCAUACACUCUUCUUGAUGUAUUAAAAGCCUUCAUUAAGAAUAACCUCAGUGUAAACUGUCGUGGAUGGAUUUGGGUAAGAUGUCAACACAUACAUGAUCUUCCACUCUUCAGCUCUGAUAUCAAUACAAAGCAAGUCUCUCUAAUCUGUCUCCAAAUAGCUAUAGCUUCCUUGAUCGGGUCUAAUAAUAGGAACAAGCCCAUGGGGAUUAAAAGAUUCCAUGCUUCUGCUGCUGCCAUUAAUAUAAUUGCUAUGAUCUAGUGAUCCAUGGGGAAGUCGAGUUAAAUGCUAAAAUCUUUGGGGCCAGAGGCUAAACAGGUUAGUUCUAUCAUUAAUGUUGUCUUUAAGAAGGUACAUAGUGUUCCCCAAAAUGUGACUUUGCAGAACUGACAACUAUGUCUAAAGUCAGCAUGCAAGUGAAGGGACAAUUCAAUUCUGGUUUUGGGAAAUUUGCAGGAGUGAAUGUGGCAGAGUAGGUGUGAAAUAAAUGUUCUUUAGCAUUUAGUGAAGGUUUGUGGGUCACCAUCAUUUCAGGUAUCUGGGAGUUGUGCAACCCUUCUGUUCUCCCUGAGUCACAUGGGAAGCUUUUUAAAAAGUCAAACCUUUCAAGUAUUUGUAAAUAUUUAAAGGCAACACUGUGUCUUGUGUGUACAAAUCCAUCUGUGGGCCAACAUUCAGGGGCAUCUGAUCAUGUGAGUUAAUCACAUGUGGCGGCCCUUUUUGUGCCAACCCUUUGAGAUAUUUUACCUCCCUGGCAGUGUCUUCAUGAACAUGCAUUGACCAUCUUUUGGAUUAAUGGGCUAAAGUAAUCAGGUCAUUAUGAGUCCAACCACUUUCUAGACUCAGUUUACCUAAUUGUUAAUGGUAUUAGAGCUGCAUUGGGUGAGCCUAUUUUUCCAAUAAUAGACUUUGACUUCUUAAAAUUAUUUUUUUUCUCUUCAUGAAUUUCUCUGAUACCAGCCUAAUCCUAAAACCUACUUCUCCCCCACCCCGACCGGUGUUUAUUCAGAUAAUUUUCCUUCAUUUGCGCAUGCAGCUACUACCACAAGUCAAACAGGGAAGUCACUCUCGGGAGCCUUCCUUUCAGCAGCUAGUCCUUUGUUUCAGCGAUUUUCCCUUUUCGGUUGCAUAACCUUGAGGAAAGGGCAUCUAGUAUAUGAUAUUGUUCCCAAAAUAGUUAAAUGCCUCUUUUUAGGAAUCCUGAUAAUAUCCAUGAUAAUUAUUAAUACUAGGGCACACAAACAUAAGCACCCACUGUGUACCUAUCUCUGUGCUAAACAAAACAUGAUCACAUUUUGAACCUCACACUGACCUGGUAUUGUUCUGUAAUUGGUUCAGGUGGUUGCUUCUGAAGACUUGCACGUAGGCAAGUUGCUUUCAUCUUUUUGACGAAGGUUCAUCAGUCACCUUGUAAAUGGCCAUGAGAUUUCUGAGCUGAAGCUCGAUGAGGGAAAAAGACCUCAAAGUCUGAUAAGGGAUGAGUGACCCUUGUUGUCUAAAACAUUGACUAGAAAUUGAAUUCAGUCUUUGCUUAAUAAGAGUCAUGUCUGAUCCUAAUGAAAACCCAACCCAAUUAGGGUUGAUACCUGAAUUCUACUGUAAUAUCUGACUGUAGUGGCUGGAUAAUUUGCCUUCCUUUGCCUUCUUUCGUCCAUUCACUCCCCUCACCCUACCUCACCCACCUCAUCUUAAUUUGUAUUUUGAAUUUGCGUAGUUUUAAAAAAUAAGGAAAUUUAAAAUAAAUAUUCUCAAGGUACUCAUACUACAAGAUAGUUAGUAAGGACAUUGAGUUCAAAGUUGCAUUCAAAUCAGAGCUCUACUGUGUUUGAGCUGGUAAAACUUGGGCAAACGACUUAAGAUCUCUGUGCCUCAGUUUCCUUAUCUUUAAAAUCCUAGCUAAGUAGUGUCUCCUGGAAGGUUUAUGGGCAAUUAGGUUAUGUGUGUAACAACUUUUGCACAGUGACAGGUGCCCAGAAAGAGCUACAGAUGUGCACAAGAAAUGGUGGCCCUUUUUAGAAGAUACAUUUAGGACUUUAAAAGUUAGGUUAAAAAAAUAAUGACUUUCGGUGCUGUGGGAUUUGUGAGCUCAAGGACUUGUGCUGCAAGAACAACAAACACGGGCUUGCUUAUUUAAUAGAACGUGUCCUCAAUGAGGGUCUGAUCUGCUUUUGGCUUGAGGAAUGCUUCAGAAUUUUAAUUAUUUGGAGGAGCUUCCCAGGGUAUUAGAAGUUGCUUUAUGGUUGCUUUCUCUUCACGUCAAACUGAAAGGGCAACCAUUACAAAUGAGCAUUCCUGUGCCAAGAUGUGACACAGCAAAUGAAUUUACGGAUGUUGUUAAUGGUCAUCAUCAGCAUGGCUAGGGUUCCAGUUUGAUCAGUAGCUGCAGACUGCCUUCUUAAGAUGAAAUAUUCCUUUAAAUGAACAUGACAUCUUUUCUUGAACAAUACUCAGGUUAUUUUUUUCUCUCAUAGAGAUUGAAGACCCAUUACUCAGCAUUAUCUCCCUCUCUCCCCGGCAACUUCCAUCUGUUCAGAAUGAGCUACCUCAGGUAUAUUUAUUGCUUUUCCUCAGUGUUCUUCUUAGCUUGUAUAUAUAGCUUAUUAUGGCACUUAUAAUAAUAUGCCAAGCAAUAAAAAUAUAAUUAUCAUUCUAUGGUAGCUGCUGGUAUUCACUGGGCAUGUACUAUGUGCUGGCUUUGCAUCAUCAUCUCAUUUGAUCCUCACAACUUGUGAAGGAGGGAUCUUCAUGGACCCCGUUUUCCACAUGGUGAAGAGAUUAACUUAGAGCUUAAAUACUUAAAAUCAGGGCUGUGAUUUAAAACAGGACUGAAGGUAAAAUCUGAAGGCAUAGACAUGACUCAGAGUUGCCUCUGUUUUACAACUCCCUGUUGAUUUCCAUUUUCCUCUUUUGUCAGUCAGCUCCCUUGACUUCCUGCAUCUGUCUAUCUUGCAUCCUAGCCUAGUGCCUGACAUGGUGGAUGCACUGGAGCAUUUGAAAGAAUGAAUGAAUGAUUUAGCCCUCUGCAGAGUAUAUGCUGAAAAACUGGUGCCUAGCCUUUAAGAGCUUAAAAGUGAAGUGAAUGAAUUUUGAUAGAAACAUUUUUAAAGUAAGGACCAUCCUUCUGUGUCCCCAGAAAAUUAAACAGACUGAGAAAAUGGUAAAGCCAAGUUAGAAGCAUUCAGGUGUGGAAGUUGUACAGGGCACUUGAGUUAAAAAAAAAAAAAUCUGCUCAGGCAUAAAAUAAUUAAACUGUUCAUGACAGCAUAUAAUUACAUCAUUAUAUACACAACUCUGUUACUAUAAUUUGGCUCAUAAAAGAGCAAAGUGUCAACAUCUUUCUAAUGGUAUUUAAUUUUGUUUUAGCAUUUCCUAAAGGAAGUGUUCAGUUUCUACUUUGAACUUACAAACUUUUGACACAUCUUUACAUAGUUUGUGGUUGCAAAUCACUUAUGUACACCACAGACAUGACUCAUUGUGCAUUUUUCAUGAUUUGGAGUCAGGUCUUUAUAUGAACUCUAAAUAUUUCAAUGUUGAAGACACAUUUGCAUACUUUAAAUGUACCUUGUUUUUUAAUCUAUCUUAUUUGGAGUUAACGUCGUUAGUAAUAUAAUCUGGAAAAAUAAUAACUCAAUUUAUUCAAGACCAUUUUAAUUAAAAAUGUGUGCUAACUCUUGAGGGACCAGGUAGAGGUUUACACUUCUCUGAAGACAGGGGUUAUUGAGCAAAUUAAUAAUGUAAACAAGAUUUUUGGAAGGAAUAUUUAAUCAACUCGAGAGAAGGCACUUUUCAAGCAAGCUGCAGCACUUUGGAAUUAUCCAUUGACAUUCAGAAGAUUGAUGUGUUAAUUACUAAUCAUUGUUUGGAAUUCAUUAAGCUGGUCAUUUAAAUGCCUUUAUUUGGCCACGUUCUAUUGGUCUCAUGUAAAUUCCAAUGUCUUUUGACUAUAACAGUGAUGCCUGUUGAAUCCUUUCUUAAUAAUCACUAUGUUACCACUUACUUUCCAAUAAUUUAGUCGUCUUGAGCACACAGUAAAGCCUCUCUGGUUCCAGCCUUUCACAAUUGUCAAAUGGGGGCACUUCAAACAACUUCAUAGGGUUUUUCUGAUACUUAAAUGAGAUAAAGUGUAUGAAUUGCUUGAUAGAGUGUUCAGGAAAUAGGUUACUAAUUAUCAGUCGAGACUAGUGUGAUUUUGUUACCGAGUGUGGCUGCUAAUACUGCAUUUUUCUACCUUAGAGUUGUAGUGUAAAUUGAUUUAUGCAGGGCCUGAAAUAAAGACGUGGUUACAGUAUUUCUUCUCUCAAGAUUUGGACAUUUAUUUAUAUGAGAAAUCUCACAGAAGUAUAGAAAUAAAGUGUGGUAUGUUUAUUUGAUCGGAGGGAAAGCAAUAAACUUGUAGAAAAUUACGAGUCUUGAAACAUCGAUUGGAGUUAGGCCCACUGAAUUGUGCUAGGGAUUUGAGAUUAAGGGAGUCUGAAAUUUGGAAAUGGGUGGUCUCAGGGUCCCAUGUGAUCAUAAAGAUUGUAUAUCUAAGUCUCUUCAUAGUUAGGACUUUGUUCCUUUUUGCCAAAGCUGUGAUAUUCUUUUUUCCCACAUUGCUAGAAACUUUCUGGCCCUUAUGCAAUCUCCAAGUGCUACCUAUGGGGUCAUGCUCAGUUUGGAAUGCUUCUCAUUGUUGAAGAGUCAGGUUUCCUUGCUUAAUAUCCUUUCCAAAAAAGUUAAACUAGUCUUAGUUGUACUGAGUUAUCUUUGUGCAAAGUGAAAUUUUCCAUAGAUACUCAUAUUCGUUCUUGGGGUUGUGACACUAGUAUAAUUAAUUGAUAGUUAAUAUCCUCUGUCAAAUUUUAUUUACUUGAUAUUUUGCAUUCAUCCAGCUUCUGGAAAAUAGCACCAAAAAGUAUGUAUUAUAUGGUUUUAUUUAUUUUUUUUUAGUAGCAAAUUUCUGGAAAACUUUUAACAGUUAAAUAUGUCAAAGACUGGAUGUACCAGCCCAUGAAGGAGAUGAGUUUAUUGAGGUUAUUGAAGUGUGGGGGGAGAUGUUCAGUCAUGAAGAAGCUCUCAAAGGGAGAGAAGGUAGACAUUUGUAAUGCAGGGAAGGCAGAAAGGCUGGAGGUGGGCCUUACGAUAUGUGAGGGUAAGUUGGUUUUAGUGGUUCAGGAUUUUUCUGAAAAUGAUAAGGGGAAAGAUUUCUGAACCUAUUGACUGGCACUGGGCUUUUAUGACAUUCAAUAUUACCCAAUGGAAAAAAUAUGUAAAAUUAUUUUUUCAAAUAGUAAGAAAAGUACAUUGGGCUUUUCAUUAUGUGUUAUUUUACCAAUGUUGAAUUCAAACUAUGUUAAUUUUGCGAUUGUCUUUUUAGUUGGCCUAAGAACUCCUAGAAAUAAGUUUUCACUAUACAAAUUAAAAAUACCUAUUCUAACUCUAAACUGUUGAAAGCAAUUAAUUUAGAAGUUUUAUCUGCUUAUAUCUCUCACUUAAAUCGCUGGUAUGAGAAAUGUAGCCUACUAUUAGUUCUCUGUGUGGAUCUGGCUGUUAAAUAGCUCUAAGGCACUAGUAACUAAUUCUCAAAUUGGUAUCUAUCUUCACUGGCUUUUUACAGGCAGAUUCCUGCUUGAAAACAGGGAUUUUGUUGGUAUUUUUAAUUUAUGGCUCCUUGCACACAACUUUUCUAUAUCAAAUGAUUUUCCAUUAAUAAGUGAGGCAUUGUCUGCUGUGAUUUCAUCCCCAAAUUCCCCACUUACUGAGUGCUGGCAUUAGUGGGACUCUCUGGGACACACUUCUGUAGCCCACCUGCAGCUCCUCCUCUUUUUUUUUUUACUCUCUCAUCCUGCACUGCAUUAUCUUUCUCUCAUUAGAAAAAUCCAGCAUCUCCUCUCAAACUCACUUCCUCUGGGGUGGCUUAAUGGACUUCUUCUGUGUGUUCUUUUCGGCUUUGUCACUUGUAAAGAACUAUGCAGUUCUUUACAGAGCCUCGAUAAUAUGUACAGCUCAGCUCUUGGAGAUGUAUAUACAGUUGUGUACUAUAAAACAUUUCAGUCAACAGUGAACCACAUAUAUGAGAGUGGCUCUGUAAGAUUAUAAUGGAGUUGAAAAGACCUAUUUCCCGGUGACGGCGUAGGCAUUGUAAUGUCAUAGUGCGAUUAUUAAUACUCUAUUUUUUAAUAAAUUUAGUGUAAUCUUAAGUGUACAGCAUUUAUUAAAGUCUACAGUAGUUAACAGUAAUAUCCUAGAUCUUCACAUUCACUCACCACUCCCUCACUGGCUCACCUAGAACAACUUCUAGUUCUAUAAGUUUCAUUCAUGGUAAGUGCACUGUAGAGGAUGACCAUUCUCUACCUUUUAUGCCAUAUUUUUACAGUAUGCUAUUUCUGUUUAAAUACACAAAUACUCACCAUUGUGUUACAGUUACCUACAGGUAUUCAGUGCAGUAACAUGCUGCACAUGUUUGUAUCUAGGAGGAGCAAUAGGCUAUACUAUAUAGCCUAGGCAUAUAGUAGGCAACACCAUCUAGGUCUAUGUAAGUACAGCAUAUGAUGUUGACACAAUAAAAUAGCCUAACGAUGCAUUUCCCAGAACAUAGCUCCAUUAUUAGGUGCCACAGACUGCAUGUGUGUGUAUACGUAUCUAUGCAUAUGAUCUCAUGUUUGAAUAACUUUUAGGUGUUUUCACCUGUGUCACCUUGAUAAGAACAUCAUUGUAUGUUCAGUUUAUAGAGGAGGAAACUGAGGCUCAUGGUGUGACUUUCUCACAGUUUGAAUAGCUUUUUGUCAGAAAAGGCUGGAGCAGGAUGUUGCAUCUGGACCAGGGCACUGGUUCUCUUUCCUCUCUGCUUAGUACUUGUUCGCUGAAAUGCAGAUUUGCAGCAUGAAGUACCUAGGCAAUCAAAGCAUGUUUGUUCCUUCUCUGAGAUACUUGGUCUAAACAGUAAUACAUAGUUAACAGCAGCAUGUGGAAAGCAGACUCCAGAGGCCAGAUCUCGAAUGUUUCUCACCCUUUCUGUAUUAAGUGAGUGAUCUUUACUCAAGCUUAGAAACUUGUGGAAAAGAGCAGACCAGGUGCUUCAUUUUCCAAAUCUACUGAAUUACUUGGAGCAAAAGGACUGGUUGGAAUGAAGGCAUCAUAGCCCUCCAGCAAUUUAUGUUGCCUGUUUGUAAUAUCCCUAUAAAAUGAGCUUCCUGGCAAGACUUAGUAAACACAUUUCAACUAGCUAUAAAGAUUUCAUAAACCAUGUUCCUAGUGAGAUGUACUCGGGAACAAUCACAGCUCCCAGGAUGUCAUUAAUUUUAUAUUAAGCUCAGAAUUUAAGAAUAGCUAGGAAAGGCACGUGUCCAUAAUCCAUAGUUACAUUAUUAAAGUACAGGGAAUAUGAACUAGACACUAAAGUGAUCAGUGCUGUCCAAGGGGCCAGUAAAGCAAUGUGGUUAAGAGCUUUUGAUAUUGCAUCCAGAGACCUAGUUCAGGUGGUCUCUCUCCACUCACUACCCUUACUAAAUUACUAACCCACCCUGUGCUUCAUUUUCCUUACCAAAAGAAUGAGGAUUAUGACAGUAUUUACCUCAAAGAGUUAUUGUGAAGAUGAACAGAUUUGCUAUGAUAUCCUUGGCACAGUGCCUACCAUAUACAGAAAAUGCUUUUUUCUCUUUUUUUUUUUUUGCCAUCAGUUGAUAACACUUGAUACUAUCCACAUAGCUAAAAUCAGUUUUUGUUCGCUUUUAGACCUAUGAUUUUCGUGAUUUUUUUUUUUUUUACUAAAUCUUAAAACUUGGUAAUUGUGAAAACCAAGUAAUUGGUUGGAUACGUGCCAUGCUCAAUACCAUUCUGCAUCUCCAUCAUUUGAAUGCCUAGGCAUUUUAUCUUAAUAAUCCUACCCUGGGAUAUAAGCAUGUUAAGGAAGAGACUAAAGCCCUCUCAAGAGACCCACUGCUGUAGUCCAUUAUAAUCCUAGAGCAGUUUAGGUCCGUUUCUACCAUAGACAGUCCCUCCCAAGGCCUCUGCUACAUUCUUGAGCUACCUACAUAAUAGAGAGCCCCUUAAUUCAUUGAUGAGAUGUCCUAACAGGGCAAUAUUCUGAAAGAGCAUUCAAAAUUAUUUCAGGGAGAGAAUUUGAUGUUUCUCUUUCACUUUGCUCCGCAAGUGAAUUUGCAGGAAUAUUAGAAGUCCCAGUUGGAGGUAACACAUAGUAAUGGGGAUAAUUUGGUGAUUUCCCCAUCUUUACUACAGACAUCUUCAUCUAGGACACUGUAUUCUACAGAGAGGCUUACGCUGGAGAGUGUCCCCAUUUAAAUCUCCAUCUCUUUGCUUCAAGUGUGUCUUACUAUUGACAGCUGCAGGAGUGGUUCUAUCAGCGACGUUCUUAUGUUGCUCCCUGAUAAACAUAUGGGCGGGUUUCUUGUCAUUUUUAAAACUAUUCUAUUAGAUGGAACUAUUCCUAUGCCUCUAUCAUCAAAUGUUUAUCUAGAGCAUCUCAAAUACUCCAAAUGGUAGCACUGCCUUAUGGUUAUUUGAGAUUUCCUUGAGGCCUGAUGACAGAUUACAAAAAAUUGCUUGAUAUAUCUGUCUUAAAGGAGAUCACUGAACUAAGAAUUACUUGCCAUCUUGUUUGGAAUAGAAUAUGUAUUUUGACAGUUGAAGUCAAUUCUUAGCAAAAUAGUUAUUUAACUUAUAUAGAUUAAGUAUAUAUUUGAAUUUAAUCUCAUAUUUCAGAAUGAAAACAUUAUUUCUUGGGGGAAGUAAUUAUAUUACUCUAUGAAAUUAACCCAAGAACUUCUGCUUUUGGGUAAAUUAGAGUGGCUUGUGACAAACCAACGCUUCUUUGAAAACCACAGAAAAGACUCAUGUAAACUUAAAUUGAAGAUAUCAAAGAACCACCAAGAAACCGAGAGACCUAAAAAUCAGGGAUUGUUGGAGUGCUAAACCAGGAAUCCACAGGCUGCUUUCCCCUUUAGGGAACUUGCUGACUUUUGGCUUAAGGAGCAGUUGAGAAAAAGAGCAGCUAGAAAAAUCAUACCUAAUAGGCAAAAUAAUUUUUGGUGACCUCACAAUGCUGAAGAGACAAACGUAGAAGGUUGGGUCUGACAAAGCAGCCAGGAUUCAGAGGAACCAAGAUCUCAGAGAGAAGGUGGGUGCCUUCGGUAGAUGUAUAACUGAAAGCUUUUUUUUUUUGUUUUUCUUUCUUUCUUUCUUUUUUUUUUUUUUUAAUGAGACAGGAUUUUUCUCUGCUUCCCAGGUUGGAGUGCAGUAGAAUGCUCAUAGCUCACUGUAACCUCAAACUCCUGGGUUUAAGCAGUCCUCCUACCUCAGCCUCCUGAAUAGUUUGGAUUAUAAGUGUGGAUGAACAUACCUGGCUGACUUUUUAAUUUUUUUGUGGAAACAGGAUCUUGCUAUGUUGACCAGGCUGGUCUUGAACUCCUGGCUUCAAGCCAUUUUCCUGUCUCAGUGCAAAGUGUUGGGUCACAGAUGUGAGUCACCAUGUGUAUUUUUUAUAGUCUCCCAGGGCGAGGUUAAAAUAAAUAGAGUUGUGGCUGGAUGCAGUGGCUCAGGCCUGUAAUCCCAGAACUUUGGGAGGCCAAGGUGGGUGGAUCCCGAAGUCAGGAGAUCGAGACCAGCCUGACCAACAUGGUGAAACUUCAUCUCUAUUGAAAAUACAAAAAUUGACCAGGCAUGGUAGUACAUGCCUGUAAUCCCAGCUACUCAAGAGGCUGAAGCAGGAGAAUCACUUGAACCUGAGAGGCAGAGGUUGAAGUGAGCUGAGAUCGCGCCAUUGUACUCCAGCCUGAGAAACAGAGCAAGACUCCAUCUCAAAAAAUAAAUAAUAAGUGUAGUUGUAUAUCCACGAAUGACAGGUGUACUAGUGUACACCACAGACCUUCAAACCAUACCCAUGAUGUGUGUGCAAACCAGAGGUGGAGCACAUCUUUCAAAAUGCUCACCAGCUUUGAGUCAGUUCAAUUCCAAAUUGAAUGAAAGUAAUGCCCCAUUUGAGACUGCCUGAACCUUCUUGGGUGGGAAAUACCAUCAUGCAGAAUCUCUAUAAUUCUUCAUUCACAGCAUCUGUACUUCAACUUAAAACAUCAGACACAUCUAGAAAGAGGACCAAGAGAAACAAAUAGAAAAUUGAAACAAUCUCAACGAUGACCAAAUUGGCAUUAUCAGAAUGGGACUUUGUUCUGAAGCUAAUUAGUUGUAGUUCUCUUACUAAUGCCAGGACUCUUCUCAGUAAUACCAGGACUCUCACAUUCUCCAUUUUCCCUCCUGCCCUCUCUUGCUUCACUCCUGGCUUGGUCCAUUAAUUUCAUUACUACUCACACUGUAGGCGUUUUAGUUUCCAACAGCUGCUUUUCUGUAAGAAGCAGGUCUAUUUUAUCUUGAAUAUUAGGUCUUCCAACCACCACAAUAUGGAUUUGCACACAAAAGAUAUUAAUAUGUUUUGAAUGAGUUUUAUUUAAUCAGUCUUGAAGAGUGGCUAUGAUAGUUUCACAUUUUCUCUUUGCAUAGGAAGAUUAUUAAAGGGGCAACAGGGAGUCUUGCUAUAAACAGAAAUGCAUGUUUUGUUUUGUUUGCUUUAAAGUUAGCUAAUUUGGUAAAAUCACCUCUCUGUCUUUGUCUUUGAAUUUUUCCUUGCAGUAAAAUAAAAUCAUGUGUGCCUACAGGGGGAAAAAUAAGAAAAGCAAGUUCAGACAGGCUUAAGUAAAAUUACAGUCGGCCCUGUGAGUGACUUCCUGGGAAUGUGCAAUGAGCAUUUUUGACAUAGACUGUUCACAUCUCUCUGAAAUGAUAAAGGAUCAGAAAUGAGAUAGGCUUUGCAAACCAGAGUCAGCUUUCUCUCUGUUCUAAGGGAAGAGCCAUUAUUUUAAAUUUCUUUUUUUUUUUCUUCCUUAUUUUUAUAAAAGUAGAUAGCCUGCCAUUGUAGCAGUGUGCUUUCUUUGAUGACCUUUGGUAAGAAAUGUCUGGUAAUUUCUUCUUAAAGCUACAGACCACUAUAAUCCAAGAACAACAUUUUAGAUACUUUCUGUGAUACAGGUUACCCUGAGUGCUUUGAAAUCCUAGUGCUCUAGAGUGAUUCUCAAAAUGUGGUCCUCAGGCUAGCAUUUGGCAUCAUCUGGGAGGUUAUUUGAAAUGCAAAUUCAUGGAUCCCACCCAGGCCUAGUGAAUCAGAAUCUCUGGAGAUAGGGCCUGGGAAACUGUUUUACUGUGUUUUCCAAGCAAUACUUACUGUGCAUUAGUAUUUGAUGACCACUUUUUUAGAGUACUUAUGGUAAUCCAUAUGGAGUUACCAGGUAGGUCCCAGAUAACUGACCUCUGUGGUGAGGCCACAGUGCCACAUCAAGAAAAUAUUGCAAUGUUCCUUUCAUCAUUUUCCAAUCUAAUGGAAUUAGGGUCUUUGGGAAGUUUCUCCUCAGCCAGAAAAUCAUACCUCAGGAAUAAGAGGGUAAAAAAAAUUUCAAGACAGUAGAGUAAGAGUUUUUCUUUUCUUUGGACCAACUCCCCACCACCAGAAGUUCUUUUGAUUCUGUGUAAAAAGUCUUGGCCAACUAGGAGGAUGAAGCAGGCACCUCACUGUCUGGUAAAACAAUUAGGCAUUAUAAGGAAAUCACAUCUCUUUUCAAAAAAGAGAAUGACAUUCUUUUCAGAAUGACCAACGCUGUGCCUGGUGGCUUCUGCCUAUAAUCCAGGUGUUUUGGGAGGCUGAGGCAGGAGGAUCACUUGAACCCAGGAGUUCAAGACCAGCAUGGCGAACACAGUGAGAUCUCAUAUCUACAAUGUUAAGAAAAAAAAUUAGUCAGGUGUGGUAGCAUGCACCUGUAGUCCCAGCUACAUGAGAGGCUGAGGCAGGAGGAUUACGUGAGUACAGGAGUUUGAGGCUGCAGUAAGUCAUGAUCAUGCCACUGUACUCCAGCUUGGGUGACACAGUGAGACCUUGCCUCUUAAAAUAAAUUAAAAUUGAGUGAGUGGGAAGAAAAAUGACUUGAGGUGAUAGACAAGAAUAAUGGCACUCGAAGAGAAGAGUCAACUUUCAGAAGGACAGUGAUUAGGUGCAUCAGACAGUCAAGAUUUAAUAGUUAUUGCUGUGGCCAUCAUAAAGUGAAGUUUUCAAAAUAUAUAUGUAGUUGUCUGUAGACACAGACAUACAGGUGCAUUGAAUAUCAACUCUUCAAGGAUGCAUUGGCCUAAGAUUUACAACAACUUUUAUAAGACAGUAGCCUAUGUGGCUCUUUCUAAAAGUGUGUCUCUAUCUUGUGUUCUCUGUGUUAAGUGAUUUUAUUUUCCUGUGCCUAUUCUCUAAGGUAAACAAAAAAGAAACAGUUGUUCAAAGAGAAGUUUGAGAUGAUAAAUUGUUUCUAAAGAUUUUACUGUUUGCUUCAGCCCACUUUUUAAAUGAUUCAGUGAGCUACUUCAUUGUUAAGUGGAGACUCCUCUUGUUCCCAAGAGCAUCCUUCCAAGAAGAAUAUAUUUACUGCUAGACAUUUUUAGAAACUUGUACAGUUUUGUGAGUAAACUCCCUCCAUUGACAUGGUCAAACUUAUUGGUAGUACAGUCAAGAAGGAAUCGGAAGAGGGCAAAGGUACAGCUCAUCGGUGAUUCAUCAAAUGUUGGUGAAUCAUUCAUAAUUAGGUCCCUUUGGUGUAAAUUGCCUUUGAGGUUUUUUUUCUUUUCUGUCUGCUACAUCAGGUAAAGACACUGAUAUCGUCUGGUUCAGCCUCACUGGAUUUUGAAAGAGGUGCAACAGUGAGUUCUGAGAACAAAAGCACAAACAAAAGGGGUGAAUGUGACUCUUUUUAACUUGUUAUUACAUCACAGAAGUUCAUAAUACAUUUCUCUUGCUGGGUUGUAAUUUACUAGAGUAUCAGAAUCAUAUGCCAGUGUAAGAGCCAAAGCAC